CCCACACUCACCUCCUCCUCAGCAGCGACCACCGGGAUAGGGGAAGCAGGGAGAGUGAUCUCCAUGCCUACCACCACCACCGGCGCCAAAGUACCCACCGUGGAGCCUCCUGCGAGCCCCGACUGGCCAACACCCGAGGGGGCGGGGGUGCGCCGACCGCCAGAUGGCUCGGGCGGAGCCCCGACCGUAUCAUCGUCCCCCUCAGAAGAAGGCCCCUCCUCCGACGAGCCCCCCUCCUUGUCAAGACCCCCGUCGGCAGGCUCCAGCCCAGGCGGGACCGGAUCUAGCUGAGCCGCUGAAGCCGGGGACUCGAGCUCGAAGGUCAGACGCCUGCCCUUGGACCCAAAGUAGAAGACCAAAGACAACCCGUCAAUCUCAGCAGGAGCCGGGCAGAGAAUCUCAAUGCGGGCAGGGCCAUCAUCCUCGAAAGAUGCCAGGUCGGCGGUGAUCAGUUUGCCCAUGGGUUUAGAGAUGGCUUUCAGAAUAUGACUGAGCUUGCCACCCCGCGGAGCCGCACUGCCCCCCCUUGGGAGGCCAUAGACGAGGACCCAAACCUUCUCCAAGGGAGGGACGGGGUCAGGCUCUGACAUGGCCGCCUGGACGCUGAUCGGGAGCUGGUUGAGGGGACACCGGAUAGGACCAUGCGAGCAGACCCGGAGUAGCUCGGCCGAGGGGAAGGGGACCGAGAAGACCAGGGGAGCCGUCUCAGUCACCUCCCAUGCGAACUCAGAGCCGCGAAAGUCGCCAAUGUAGGCCGCAAGCUCAUCCUGGAUGAGGUCAGACGAGAUCACCAGGCCAUCCGGGAUAGGCUGCUCGGGCUCCAAGGUGACCGUCGCUAGGUGAGGACGAGCAGCUACCUCCUCAAUCUCCGCAUCCACGAAGUAGAAGCUUCCCCGCUCAGUGCCAUACCCAAGAUAGGCAAGAAUCGUGGGGCACCGUGGGGGAGCCUCACACUCCGAGCGGUAGUGCCCGGUGCACCCGCAGUUGAUGCACAUCGUGUCCUCGCGGGAGCGCUGGCGGGUAGCACGAGCAGGGGGUCUAGAGCCUCAUGCUCAGGAGCCCCCUGAGCUCCUGGCGACGUCAGGCCGCCAGCACCGCCAACAGCCUUCUUCUUCUUCGACUUCAUCUUCUUCUUAACCGGGGUCGGGCGGGAAGCGGAGCAGCAGGCAGGGCAUCUGGGGACACGUGCCUAGAAGGCCCGUCGUCCCGGCACCAGUCCGCACCCGUCGCCCGAGAGGAGCGCCAGUCAGCCCGACGUCCAUCAUCACCGCGCCGCAUUGGCGGCCCGCCCCACCGCUCCCCCGGGCGGUGGUCCUGGCGAUCACGGGGCGGCCCGCCCCACCGCUCCCCAGGAAGGCGCCGCGGGGCGGUGAGCGAGGUCCCGAGCCGGGGGGUAGCGGGGCGCUGGCUCCUCACACGGCUGAGAUGCCGGAGUGGGGCGAGCAACCAACUCUGCACACAGAGUCGCUUCCCGGUCCAGGUCGGCCGCGCGGGCGGCCUCCAGGCGGCGACGGUCCCCCGGCGAACCCGGCAACGGCAGGCGGGGAUCCCUCUCCGGAUCACGAGGGGGAGGCGGACGGCGAAGGGAGGUCCCGGAGUAGUACUCCGGGGACUUCCCCGGCCGGGCAGACCCACCGCGCCCGGAACGGGACGAGGCAGCACCCCCUUCCAUGGCACGGUCACGGGCGGCGGGCAGCGCCUUCAACACCGCGCGAGCCUGGUCACGAGAGGUUGGCGUAGGGAGGAGCCCCUGCCCAGCCGGGAGAGGCCGCUUCGGUCGGGCCUGGCCGUUCCCGGCGUGGCGUGUCAUGAGCACGUCCCGGUAGGAGCGCCGUGGGGAGGGGAUGGGGAGCAGGUCCGGGCGCCGGGCAGCAGACGAGGGCGCGUCGCCGGCAGUGCAGGCGAGGACGGACGAGGUGGAGGGAGCUCUAUGGCUGACGGGACGGGGCGAGCGGGGCCUGGGGAACGGCCGGCGGGACGGGGCGAGCAGGGCCUGGGGAACGGCGGGGACGUCCGCGCCCGACGGGAGAGAGCGAGAGGAAAGGGAGCGGGAGCCCGACCGGAGAGAGCGAGAGAAACGGGAGCGGGACGGGGCGAGGCUGCGAGGUGGCGGUGGCGCACGCUCGGCAGGGUAAACCCUAUCCCCGAGCCGGUCCUCCCGACGCAGGCCUGGGCCGGGACGCGAGCAUGGGGGAGGCCCAGGUGGGCAUCGGCCCACUGCCGGUUAACCUUCUCCAGGACUCGGGAGACGCGGCGGGAGGCCCAGGCCAUCUCGCUAGCUGAGAUGGGCCCAGGCCCCGUUCGCAGCGGCCCAUGGGGAGAGCCGGCCCAUCCGUCCGCCAGCCGGCCAGGGGAGUUAGGGCAUGGGGGAGGGGACUGACGAGGCACUCGGGCACCUCCCGCUGCCGCCGGCACCGCCGCCGCCGCCACAGGAGGCAGGGCACCAGCGCCUGGUCGGGGCUCGCGGGGGCCCUCUCCGGCGACCGCCAUGGGGGACAACCCAGGCAGCAAACCGGCUCGGGCCAAGGAGGGGAGAGGGGGAACCACAGGGGGACAGUGCACCGGCGACCGCCGCCCGACCUCCUUCCCCGGCCGCCGGCGGGCAGGGCGCGCCGCAGCCAGGAACGAGCCGAGCAGCGGCGGUGCCAGGGACACCGGCAGCUCCAACCGGUCAUCACCAUCCGAAGAGGCCUCCAUGUCAUCGGGGUCGGGAUCGUCCGUCCAGUCCGCCCAACGUCGCGGCGACCGUUGGAAGCAGAGGGAGGGCGCCCCCGGCGGGGGAAGCGGGGGCAUCGCGCUCACGCAGCACGCCGGCCGACCGCCGUCAGCGGGCACCGCGCAGCUUCAGGUCUCGGCCCGCCGGAGAGGAGCCGCCCAUCGCUUCUUCUCUUCAGGAAUCUAGUCGCCGGCCCACAAGUGGGGUGAUGAACAAGCUAAUGCGAUUUAAAGUAAUCAUACCUCGUCCUAAGAAAUUAAAAGUGAAUUCAUACUGUGCAGCUAGAAAAAGAAUCAUAAAAGUAUACAAGCGCAUGUGAAAAGAAAAAGAUGAACAACUUGCCACUUCAUAUAGGUGAUCUAAUUAACUAAUUUAGGGUUCGAAUAACUUUGUUUCCCCACAAUCAUGACAAAGUGAACCUUUUGUUGAAAGCCGGAAUUCUGCAAUAAAGCUGCAAUGGUAGAUCUAUUUUUAUCAGGGAAUCUACCAUGCUGAGCUGCUGCACACAAGGCGUUCUCACUCACGAGUCGCAAAAAAGAGUUGGUGAGUUAUUAAAAAAGAAGACAAAGAGGACGAGUGAGUUGCACCAAAAUUAAAUACUUCCUUCAUUUCAAAAUAAAUGUCUCAAUUUUAUACUACCUCUAGUAUAAGAGCAUGGUUAAUAGUAUAGUCAACUGCUGGCUAUAAGCUAUCUUAUAGCCUAUCUUAUAGCUAGCUUGUACAAUAGUUAGCUAUAAAAGAGUACUACUUUUAUUCUAUAUGGCCCACCUUUCAUUUUCACAAAGCACCUACGAGCACGUGCUAGAGCUGGCUCUUUACGAAGAGCCCGCUUCCCUUCUCACUCCUAUUCUCUCUCAUCCAACUCAGCAAAAAUACAGUAUUUUAAUCCUUACAGCCUGCUGACUGUACCUUAUUGUACUUGCUCUAAAGUUGUACUCCCUCCGUUCCAAAAUAUAAGACCUUUUAGAGAUUUAUUAGAAGACUACAUACGAAGCAAAAUGAGUGAAUCUAUACUCUAAAAUAUGUCUAUGUACAUCCGUAUGUAGUUCAUAGUGCAAUCUUUAAAAUGUCUUAUAUUUAGGAACGGAGGGAGUAUUAAGUUUGAGGCGGUUAUAUUGAGACGGAGAGAGUACUAGAUAUACGUAAUCUGAAAUAGUGGAGUACCAAAAUUAUAGGCCUCUAUGAUUAGGAGGAUUUUCAUAAAACAUUUGGAAAGUUGUGAUACUUGAGAAUUUUUCCUUUAUCGCUUAUCUGAUUCGUAGAUUGACUCCUAUAGGAUUUUCUCCUAUGGAUUCCCUUUGACUGCACAUUUCAUGAAAAAAAACAUUAGUUUGCCAUGAUAAUUUUUCACCAGGAUGCACAAAAAAUGAACUAGUUCUGAAAGGUUUAUUGGCUUCAUUUGGAUUUACUUAGAAUCAGCUCAUAUUAGCAAUAAUUAAAGAUGGCCGAACGAUGGCGCCGUCUCCCUCCCGACCCGGGGCCGCAUGCAGCCCCUCUCCCUCUGCCCCCCUCCUCCUGUCGGUGCCCUCGGAUCUGGUCCGGGUGGUGUUGGCGGUGGCGGGAUCUCCAUUACCUGUGCGCGGACGUCCUUCCCGAGGCAGGGGAUCGACGGUGGUGCGGCUCGGCCUGCUGUGGUCCGACGACCUAGAGGUGGUGGCCGGCAGCCGACGUGGUGGUGGCGCUGCUCCUUGGCGGCGGGGUGGCCUAGCGGCACGGGGUGGCCGGCUGCACGACCCCGGGCCAGAUCAGGGCCCAUAAGGCCUCAUCUAGGUCCUAGGGGACUGGCUCUGGCAUGGACUUGCUGCCUCCUGUACAGGGAUGAGGAGGGGCGGGUUGAAAGGGGGGCCGCGAUGCCGACGGUGUGCUUUCUGCAGCGCGAUGGCAGGAGCUUUAUGGGUAUUUGUGGGGCCAUGAGCCUGGUUUGCUCCUGCCGAUGUGUCCGGUCGGUUACUGUCGUUGACGAUGGAAGUCGGACCCUCCCGCAGGCCGCCGGUGUUGCUUCCCCUAGUCCCGACUCUUCUUCUUCGAUGUGCAGGCCUCACUUCUCGGUGUCCUGGUGAGACAGUGUGGGUCGCUUCAAGAUUGUGCUUGCGCAGGGCGGUGGGUGGUAUGGUGGAGUCCUCCGGAACGCCCGUGGUGAUGCGUGGGGAUCGGGACGUACAAAUCCUUGUCGGCCUGUUCGACACCGACACGGUGACGCCUGAGGGUGUCGACGGACCUUCCUGGAGGGUGUCGGGUGCUACCCUUUCUUUGUCCUCGUUGUGUAUCGGGGGAAACCCUUGGCAGCAGCGCAGUCAUCGUCGUGUCCCUUCUUGGAGGUGUUGAUUGGUAUCGGCGCUUCGAAGGCUAGGAUCUUGGUGGAAGAUCUUCGAUGGGCGCAACGAUCGCGGGGCCUCUUCAUUUUUGUCGAUCCAUCAUUGUUGGCAUCUAUUCCUUUUGCAUUUUCUUUUUCCCUUCCUUUUGGACGUGAUUGUGAUGUCUCCGUCCCAGCACUUAUUGAUGGAUAUAUCGGGCAUUUGCUAUAUUAAUAUAGCGAGGCGAACGCGUGCUUCGAAGAAAGAUGGACGAACUUACCAACCAUAUUACUUGUGCUUAUUUAUUUUCUUCUGUUACAACGCACAAACAUAUUUGCUAUUUGAACUAAAUCACAUUGCCAAUUGCUCGUCUAUCAUGUCAAAUCAGAACCACGCAUCUAACCCUCCCAAGAUGUAGAUCGAUCGGUUUUACUCGGCAUUCAUUAUGGAUCGGAGGGAGUACUCCUAGAUCAUAUUCAAAAUUGCUCCACGCCACAAAUAAAACUGCACGGUACAUAUGGUAAAUCUGGGAAAGUGAUUUGCGUGGUAUGUGUGCCAUAAUCAACUGAAUUAUUGGACUAACCGCAUCAAGAUCGGAUCACAUCGAUCCUAUCCCCGUCGACGAGACUGUCCUCGAAUCAAAAUAUUUCUCCAAUGGACGCUCGUGUCCCACGCUCUGAAAGCGACGCCUUUUGUUUUGUCAGUUAAUUUUCACGUCAAGCUCACACCCACGCACGCACCGUGUAGGAUCCACGGCUCGACGCACCUCCCCUUCCCUCCCCUUCUCCCUAUUUAACGAGCUAGCCACCCCCACGCUUUUUGCACCUCAGCAAGCACCAACACACACACACACACAAGAAAUGGCGAUGGCUAGGACGACGACGCUCCUCCUCGUCGCCGCAGCUCUCCUCGCGGCCUCAUGCAGCGCAUGGGAGGUCAACAUCCGCAUGCCGACGUCGGCGGCGGACGUGGACGAGGCGGUGGUGGCGCCGCUGAUCCACGCGCUGCGGCCGCUGCUGGGCUCCGGCAAGCACGCCGGAGUGGCGUGCGACAGCUGGGUGCUGGGGGUGGAGGCGCACAACGUGCGGGACUGGAAGACGGUGCCCGCGAGCUGCGAGGGCUACGUCGGGCACUACAUGCUCGGCAGCCAUUUCCGCCGCGACUCCAAGGUCGUCAUCGACCAGGCCCUCGCCUACGUCGACUCCCUCAAGCUCGCCGGCAACGGCAAGGAGGUCUGGGUCUUCGACAUCGACGAGACCACCCUCUCCAACCUCCCCUACUACGCCAAGCACGGCUUCGGGUACGUACUUACACUCUUGUAUACAUUACAUAGACACUACUGAUUCUACGUGUAGUGCAUGCAUUAGACUUGCUAUUUACUGCAGGUACAUCCGACCGAGCAGGGACUUGCACUCAUCUUUUCACUAAGAUGAAGUGUAAAUAAUCUGACUAGAUAUAUAUUGUAAAAAAUCAACUCACUAGCUAGCUAAAAAAUACCAGCGAGAUCUGUAAUGAAUGAAAAUUGGAAAGCACAUAAGGAUAGAAAUAUUGGAAAUAAAAAGGAAUAUAAUCACUAAGUAGAAAAGUACUUUAAUCACAAGUGUUGGACACUUGGACAUCAUCAUUGCCAGUAGGACUCGGGCCAUAUGUCCCUAGUAUGAAUGGCCAACAAAACAAGAAGGAAACAUACUAUAUUUUGAGAUAGAGAUGUGAUGUUGAUGGGCAUGCGAAUGUGGUGGCCGGGUAGGACCGUAUAUGUUGUCCACUUGGCUACUUUAUGGAAAUGUUCUAAUUAUGUUAUGCUAGUCAACUCAUACUUUCUAAUUAUGUCAUACUUUUGUACACAUACACACUAUUGUAGUGCAUUAUACUCCCUCUCUAUCUAAAUACUUAGAGUUCGAAAGAACUAGGUGCAUUUCAGCAGGGGCUUGCACUGAUCUAUUCGUUCAGAUAAAAUAAAUAUCUUACUAGACCUCGUUCAAAUGAACUCACUAGCUAGAAAGCACUAGUAUCAUAAGAUUUCUAAUGAAUGAAAGUGGGAAAACAAAUGAGACUAGAAGUGGAAACAAGGAAUAUACUCACUAGCUAGAAAAGUAUUAAUUGGACGUGUUGGACACACUUAGGCAGCAUCAUUGCUGGUUACCUCAAAUCAGUCACAGAGACGGCCAUCAGGACCAUAAAUAUGUCCCGCCUAUGAAUGGUCAACAAAACAAGAAGGAAACAUAGUACUAUAGUUUGAGAAUAUGGUGGCCGGGGUAGGACCGUAUAUGUUCUCCACUUGGCUACUUUAUGGAAACGUUUAUUUCCAGCUGUCCUUAUCAGCCGAUACGUUCUAAUUAUGUUAUGCUAAUCGAUUGAUAUUUUCUGAUUAUGUUAUGCUAAACUUAGUUCAGAUGGAUAGUACUCCGAUACGUUUUCAUUAUUUUAUGCUAAUCUGAGUUUAGAUGGAUAUAAUUACUUAUUUUAGAAGAUGUGAGAGGUCAGAACAUCUUGUGCAUAGUUAGUAGUUACAUGCUACUCCCUCCGUUCCUAAAUACAAAUCUUUUAAAAGAUUUCACUAGUGGUCUACAUAUGAAGCAAAAUGAAUGAAUUUAUACUAUAAAAUAUGUUUAUAUACAUUCAUAUGUAUUACUCUAACCUCUAAAAAGAUUUAUAUUUAAGAAUGGAUGGAGUACAACUCUAUUCCUCUUUUCUCAAAUAGUUGAACACUAUUCCUCUUAGUUAAGAAGAUUCUCUUGAACCAAGAUGGAAACUAACUUGAAAUGUAGUAGAAGUCUAGGUGAUAUCUAGCCAACAUGAUGAUACCAGUUUAGUUCAAAACAUGAUUAACUAGCUCCGGAUAGCUUGCUUGUGUAUAUUUUGAAUGUGAUGAGGGAGCUAGUUCGUUGUGAUUUAAAAUAAACUGUACCUUGCCGUAAGAACUUUAAAGUGGAUCUACACUGGGCGGCUGGAAAAAGAUACAUAAAAGUAUAUAUAUGCGCAUCAAGGAAAAAAGAAAGAUCAAAAGCUUAUAACAGCAUGUCUAACUAAUCGAGCGGUUCAAAUAACUUUGUUUCAUCACAAUCAUGACAAAAUUAACCUUUUUUGUUGAAAGUCGGAACUCUGCAAUAAGGUUGCAAUGGUAGACCUAUUUUACCAAAGGAAUCAACAAAGCUGAGCUGCUGCGUACAAAGCUGUGCACGAUGAGAUUAAAUACUACAACUGCGUUUUCGGUCCAACAAAACAGUAGCGUGAUGAUGCCGGAGUGAACCUCGCUAUGUCACAUUCAUUGAUUUACUCCACUUGACCAACUUAAUUUACGACGUCCACAACUACGUACUGCUCAUGCACGUGCGUUACGUACAGAUACAGAGCAUCAUUGCGUUUACGUAUUGCCCAUCCCCUUGGCCAUUUGGCCACUUGGGCCAUAAUCUAGGUUGCCUAUGUUCCUUGGAUAUGCAUAAUUACUACUACUUCUUAGUAGCUGAUAUGAUUGAAUCUGCCAUUAAUCUAUCCUCGUAUACAUGUGCGUGCAGGGCUACACCGUUCAACGCGACCAGCUUCAACGCAUACGUGCUACAGGGGAGCGCGCCAGCCCUGCCGGAGACGAAGCGGCUGUACAACAAGCUGCGCUCGAUCGGCGUCAAGCCGGUGUUCCUCACCGGCCGGACUGAGGACCAGAGGGCCAUCACCGUCACCAACCUCCGCCGCCAGGGGAUCUCUGGGUGGAUGAACCUCUUGCUGAAGCAACCCGGGUUCAAGGGCUCUGCGGUGACCUACAAGUCCGGCGAGAGGCAGAAGCUGCAGGACGCCGGGUAUGUCAUCGUCGGUAACAUCGGCGACCAGUGGAGCGACAUCCUCGGCGCGCCAGAGGGUGCCCGCACCUUCAAGCUGCCCGACCCCAUGUACUACAUCGGCUAGGCCGCCUCUGGCUCGGCCGGGCAUGCUGCCAUUGAUUUCUCGAAUAAGCUCCAUGCUCUUAGUUAUAUGCAUGUUUCGUCAGAUAAUCAAUCCCCAAUUGUUGCUUGGUUCAUUUCCAUUGUUGAGAGCUUGAGAUCAAUUGCUACUAUGAAUUAGACGUGUAAGUGGAGAUGUUGCAUGCUGCUUAAUCAAUGGAUCUUUGUUAUGUUGUUUUUCUUUUUGCUCUAUUACAAGGAAUCCAUGGGCAUUAUUACUAUUUGAUAUCUUGUUCUUAAGUCUUAACUUGGAACUUAUAUUGCUGGUGGUAGAUUUUUCUGUACUAAAUUCUGCAUAUGGUGUAUUAAAUAUCAGGGACACAUAAUAUUGUCACACAUAUGGAAUCACUACUGCUAAAAUGACCAGUUCCUGAACCCAUCUGCUAUUGGGCCCAUUUUGGCCCGUCGGAGGAAGGGAUCAUCGUCGGUGGACAGGCAAAGAAGUGCUCGCAUAGACUCCUUCAAAAAAUGUGCCCUCAUAGACGACGGGUAUUUUCCACUGAUGUUGCGCAACUGGUGAUUGCAAUGUAGUUUGUGUCUUGCAUGUUGUAUGCAUAUGUAAUGAAUGUAACAUCUAAUAGUUAAUUAUGCAAGACAAAUAAAGCCCACCCUUUUCAGUAAGUUUAGAGCUAGAUUUGAGUUUGUCUUGGUCUCAUUUUUCUAAACAUACAAUCCUGGAGACAACUCGGUGAAGAAAUGAUGGUCCAAAUAGGUGUCUAACACGAAUCGUCAUCAAAGAAACCCUAUGGGAACCCACACUAUUCUAGUUACUUGGAUGAUUUGUAAUGAAAGAAAUAUAUGUGUCUUCCAAGUUAUUUUGACCAUGCCAAACAACAUCCCUGCUAAGAUAAAAAACGAUGUGGAGACUUGGAUAAAGGCCGGGCGAAGGAUCUGGGAAACAUUAUGCCAGGAGAGUAGUUCCGUUCUAUUAAUUUAUCCUUGGAUGACGUUUCGCGGAGAGAGGGGAGAGGGCGACCUGGGCGAUCUGGGAGCGUCGGGGGCCGCCGUGGGCAUCGUCGGAGAGGGGGAACAUCGGUACUCCUCCUCCGAUCUCGCAUCCCAGGCGCGGCGCCGGAGCCCGAUCUCGGCGGUGGAGGGACCUACUGUCCGUGUCCGAUGGAGAGUUGCGUACUCAGAGGCUGGUUAUUCGGAUCUGCGUGAGGGGCAGAUUGUUUUUCAUUCGGUUUCUCGUUGGAUGACACUACGGGAUGACGACGACGACAUCCUCGCCGGCUGCCAUCUCCAAGAGGAAGAUCUCAUCUGCGAAGGUGCGCAUUUCAUGGUGGAUAUCUUUUCUGUUACUUGUAUUUCUCCUUUCCUGCAGGUGAAUUCACAAGAACGGAUGCAGCCUGAUUUGGUGGACAUAUCUGACGAUGAUAAGAUCGCCUCACCAAGACUUCUCCCUCGAGUUGGGGGGAGGUUUUGGGUACUGGCUAAAGAUGAAGACGACGAGAACCACGACAUUGCCGUAGCACAGGAGGUCUCUGCUCCUUUCUGCGACCAGGUUUUCCAUCCGGCCACGAGGGAUUUUAUUCAUGCAUUGCCUGAUUCGAAGGUCGUUAAGGUAGUUCAACGCAAGGAGCGAUUGGCGAUUAAACCUUGGAGCGGUCCUCUGCCUAAGGUUCAUCUCGAACCAUUGCGGAUCUCGGACAUCAUACCUUGAGAGGCUUGGACUACUGUUUUGCCUAAGAGGAAGAACAAGGGUAAGAGCCGUAAAUUGCAGACGUCAGUCCCUGACAAGGUGCUGUCGUCCCGUGAUUCUCGCGAAUUACGUUUGAACGAGCCGAUGGCUGUUGUCGGGCCGUUGGGACCGGCGCUCGAGUUGGGCUUAAAAGAAACUGGGUAUAUGGCCCAGAUAGACUCCAAUCUAGCAAAACCUGCAAGUCCUACACCUACGGCUGCCCAGAUUUGCCUUGACGAGAAUCAUCAGGACUUGGUUUCUACGUCAAGUUUGCAUAUACCGAGUUCGGCUCUGCCUAGGGUUCCACGACGGCGUUUGCCUGGCUUCCCUUCGCUCGGGCCGGGUCGUGCAGUACGGGUUCCAGCGCUGCGGUGCAUGGCGGGGCGGGGAAACAAGCAGGCGCUGCCUCCCCCUCGACCACCGGCGGUUUCCCAGGCUGUGGGGCGGACUAGGCAGCAGCCCGUGAUGCCGCCAGGGCGCCAGACGGGCCAGGCUUCGGCUGCACCGGUUCCCGCUGCUGGUCAGGGUUUGCCCAACGCGGCUCGGGCGGAUACUAACAGGAUGCAGCCGAGAGGUCGAUGGGGGGAUGAUGGUGUUAAUGCAUAUGGUGAUGGACAGCACCGUGGAUCCUCUUCGUCUGGAGGAGGACGUGGCUAUGCCUGGCAGAGCAAUGGCAGCGCUGCUAAUGGGUUCGCCGGUCCUCCGGGACAGUUUGUGCCCCGGGUCUCGGGUCCUACUCACCCUAGGGAGGUGGAUAUAAGCAACAUUGGGGAGGGAGAGGUGGUGGCAGGAGAUUGAAGCCGCCCACGCCUCCAGUAGAGGUAGAUGCUGCCAAGACAACGGCGGGAGUACCUUCCAAUGCUCCUAAGGGGAAUACACUGCUGCCACCUGUUUCCGAGGAGGAUCCUUCCUUGGCUGACAAGGGAGUAUCGCUUGCGAAGGCAGAGGGGGGGGGAUAGGCCCUCCAAGUGGGCACGCAAAAAAGAAAAGAUGACAUGCUACCGUUGCAGUGAGACGGGUCAUUUUGUUUCCGAAUGCAGCGCGGAUCUGUGUGACUUUUGCUUAAAGCCUAAGCAUGGCUCAGCUAAGUGCCCCCUUACUGUUGGUCCUAUACAUGUCGUCACUUUAUAUGGGGUUUGCUGCCAAGAGUUGAUGUUCUUUGAAUCUCCCUCUGCUUCAACGUCGUUGCAUGUGCCAGACGCGGCCUAUACGGGGACGGUUACGGUGGCUCGUGGUAAUAUGUCAGCUGAGCAGGUGGUGCAACAGUUGAGGGAUCUUGUUUCAUCAAUGUUUCGGUGGGAACUGGUCCUUAUAGCAGAUAAUGUGUUCAAGGUUGUGUUCCCUACCAAGGAGGACCUAGCUAGACUGCUCAAGUUUGGUAUGUGUCGGGUUCCUAGUACUAGUUGUGUGCUAGAGUUCGAUGCUUGGAAGAAUGAGGAGCCAUAAGGUGUGCCACUUCCUCAGAUUUGGGUUCGUUUUUCAGGGGCCCCGUCAAAGGCUCUAAAUGACUUUCUGGUGACUUGGAGUUUGGGAUCUUUGAUAGGUAAGACUGAGAGGGUGGAUAUGCAAUAUACUCGGGCUAAAGGUGUUGCCAGGAUGAGGGUUAGUGUAAUUGAUAUUGCGCUAGUACCGGAUGAAGUUAUAUGGACUUAUGAUGGAAUGCGGUACACCUUGCAACUCGAGAUCGAGAGUCCGGAUAUGUUCGAGGAGGAUGGGACAGACAAAGAUACCGAUAUGGCUGACGGAGAUGAUGCUUCGGGUUCUAGGGAAUCUGAUAAGAAGGAUCAACAGCCAGUUAUUACAAAGAUGGUGGAUCAACCUACCUCAGGUUCUGCUACAGGGGCUGCUCAACCAGUGUCUCUUCCCUCGACGCAGCUUAGGUUCGGUUCCUUUGAACCAGCCUCGGCGCCAGAGAUUCGAGGGAGGGCUUCAGAGAAGUAUGAGCGGGAUCUGGUUCAUCUUAAGCCGCAAGGAAAGCAAGCAAAGUCAGGGUCAUUCAGUAUUAAAAAUCCUAAGGAAGCUUUGACCGUAGUUUCUCUUGGGGAAUAUUUUGUUGUCGCUAGGAAUGCUGAUACGGGCCGGUCUCAGCAACGUGAUGCAGUGCAGCCAGCAAGGCAUAUGUUGUCCGGGUUGGGUACUGUGCCGAGGGGUGCGCCGCCUGGGUCGCCUAGGCAGGGUUCGCUGCUGCUGUAGAGUCCAUCGCCAGCCACCCAGGGGGUUGCUGUUUCUCGGCCAGCCACCCCUGGGGCUGCUACCUUUUUGCCAGCCACACCGAGGGCAAUUACAGCGACUCCUCCUCCUGGCCUACUUCCGUCGUUGGAUGCUGCUGCGAGAUCCACCCCUGCUGCUGGUUUCAUGUCAGCCGAGAGAUCAACCCCUGUUGCUGCGGUUCCUAUCGCUACUAUGGCUGCAACCGGGGCAUCAUCUUUGCGGGUGUCAGGGCUGGAGGGUACUGGUCAGGGGCACCAUGGCGAGGUCGUUGCACCGCCGUCUGUUGAGCAGGUCAUAGCAUACGGAGGUAUUCAAAGUCCGCUGACUUCGGACAGGAGGUCCAGUCGGCGAAUUCAGAAUCAACCUGAUGCGGAUUAUUUACAGAUGGGACGUGCUAUGCGUGCGGCUAAAAUGAGAGAUGUCGAAACUGAGACAGGUAUGUCUUUCAGCAUUAACGAUUCUAUUCUUCAUUUUUCUCCUCAAGAUAUUCUAGAUAAGGCAGGUUCUAUUGGGGUUACAUUGGGGAACAAUGGCCGAGAAAUUUCGAAAUCUAUUAAUGAUCUAUUAGACUUAGAGGUCGAUAGAGCGUUAGACUUAGUACGAAAUUUAGCGGCAGUUAAACCAAUGCAAGAGUCUGAAGUUAACGAUCUAGGGGGACUGAAUUCUCUUUGUGAUAGUCUGGCCCCGUCAGUGGAUAUAGAGGAUGGUGCGGGCGAGGUUUUAGUUGGUCAAGGGAUGUGUGCCCAAUCUCAUAAGGCUGAGCCUCAAUUCUCUGGUUAUAUGGACCAGGAGUUGCUGGAAAAGCCGAAGCGUCCAUGGAGACGGAAAGUGUAUCCGGUCUCUGCGAUACGUAGAAGUGCUAGAUUUAAGAUUGCCAAAAAAAAUUAUGAUGAUUAAUGAGAGGAAUUUUUUGGAAUAGCAGAGGUCUUUGAGACUUGGCUAAAAGAAGAUUUCUAGCAGAGGCUACUUUAGAGCAUCACCUUGAUUUUAUCGCAGUGAUGGAGACAGGGAGGGAUAACUUUACGUCUCAUUUUUUAAGUUCUCUAUCAGCUGGGGUGGAUUUUGACUGGCACUGUCUCCCUCCAAGAGGAAGGUCCGGUGGGAUCUUACUUGGGGUCCGUUGUGACACUUUUCAAGUGCGGGAGGUGGUGUUUGGGGAGUUUGCAGUCAAAUUCAAGAUUAGAUCUAAGGAUGACGGGUUCCAAUGGGCUCUCGUUGCCGUCUAUGGCGUAGCACAGCCAGAUCUAAAGCCUGAUUUCCUAGCAGAUCUGGUCAGGAUUUGUGAUGACAAACUACCAUUGCUGGUAGGUGGAGAUUUUAAUAUUAUUAGGCGGGCUGAUGAAAAAAGUAGUGUUAAUUUUGAUGGAAGAUGGCCUUUCAUGUUUAACACAAUUAUUGAGAGCUUAGAUAUGAGGGAGACCGCUCUAUCAGGUAGGAAAUAUACCUGGGUGAAUGCUCUACAGAAUCAGACAUUUGAAAAGUUGGAUCGUGUCUUAACUAGUGUAGAGUGGGAGCAGAAGUUCCCUCUAGUAACUGUUAGAGAACUUCAACGCGCAAUCUCGGAUCAUACUCCUCUGUUGCUGGAUUCCGGUGAGGCUAGCCAUAUAGGAAACAAACAUGGAUUCUCUUUUGAAUCAAGUUGGUUCACAAGGGAGGGGUUCAUGGAUAUGGUCGAGAGGGAAUGGAAUACAGAGGUCAGGGGCGAAACCUCUAUAGAAAGAUGGCAGUAUAAGAUUAGACAUCUUAGACAGUAUUUGAGGGGCUGGUCUAAGAAUGUGUGUGGAAUAUAUAAAGAAGAGCAAGAUAAGCUCCUCAAACUUAUAGACAAUCUAGAUCGGAAGGCUGAGAGUUGUCUUCUGGAUGCUAACGAAAGGGAUCUCAAAUUCGAGGCCGGACAGCGCUUGCGUAUUCUCCUAAGAGAGGAGGAAAUGAAAUGGGCGCUUGAGCCAAAGUGAAGGCCAUAGUUCUUGGAGACAAUAACACUAAAUUUUUCCACUUGAUUGCAAAUGGCAAGCAUAGGAAAAAGAAAAUAGUGCAGCUUGAGCAAGAUGAGGGUACAAUACUAGGUCAUGAGAAUCUAAAAUUGUACAUCUCUAACUACUACAAACAUUUAUUUGGUGCUCCUGAGCAUAGCUUUGUGACUAUGGAUGAGCAAAAAGUGGCGGAUAUUCCUCAAGUUGGAGAGGCUGACAAUGAGAUUUUAUCCGCUCCUUUCUCAGAGAAAGAGGUGUUUGACGCGAUAGGGAAUAUGAAGAAUGGAAAAGCUCCCGGUCCAGAUGGGUUUCCGGCGGAGUUUUACAAGCACUGUUGGCAUAUUAUUAAGAAUGAUCUUAUGUCAAUGUUUGCUGAUCUUUUUAGUGGUCACCUUCAACUCUUCCAUUUGAAUUUUGGUACUAUUACACUCUUACCAAAGAAGGAAGGGGCCACGCGGAUUGAACAGUUUCGUCCGAUCUGUUUGUUGAAUGUUAGCUUCAAGAUUUUCACAAAGGUGGGAACAGAUAGGUUGACUAAGAUGGCCCAUUCGGUGGUACAAUCUACGCAAACAGCUUUUAUGCCAGGACGGAAUAUCCUUGAAGGAGUCGUUGUCUUGCAUGAAACUCUUCAUGAAAUGCACUCGAAGAAACUAGAUGGGGUUAUCUUUAAAGUGGAUUUCGAAAAAGCUUACGAUAAAGUCAAAUGGUCGUUUCUCCAGCAAACCCUACGUAUGAAGGGUUUCGAUGAGCUGUGGCGUAGGCACGUCGAUUGUUUUAUAAAGAAGGGAAGUGUGGGUGUCAAAGUGAAUGAUGAUGUGGGUCAUUUUUUCCAGACACUAAAGGGUCUCCGCCAAGGAGAUCCAAUGUCUCCCAUUUUAUUUAACAUUGUUGCUGAUAUGUUGGCACUGCUGAUUAAGCGGGCCAAUGAGAAGGACCUUGUAAGGGGCUUGAUCCCUCAUCUUGUUGAGGGGGGGAGUCUCCAUUUUACAAUAUGUGGAUGACACGAUUCUUUUUUUGGAGCAUGAUCUCAGUAAAGCCAGGAACCUCAAACUUAUCCUAUGCUUAUUUGAACAGCUAUUAGGGCUGAAGAUAAAUUUUCAUAAAAGUGAAUUGUUUUGCUUUGGAAAGGCCAAGGAUGAGCAGCUCACGUAUAAUCAAUUGUUUGGUUGUGCUAGCGGGAGUUUACCUUUUACUUAUUUAGGGAUCCCAAUUCAUCACAGAAAAUUAUCAAAUAAGGAUUGGAAAUGUAUCGAGGACCGUUUCGAAAAAAGUUGAGCUGUUGGAAGGGCGAGCUCUUAUCGUAUGGAGGAAGGUUGAUACUGGUUAAUUCAGUAUUAACAAGUAUGCCUAUGUUUCUCCUAUCCUUCUUUGAAGUACCUGUUGGGGUACGGAAAAGGUUGGAUUUCAAUCGAUCACGGUUUUUCUGGCAAAGUGAUGAGAUCAAGACUAAAUACAGACUCUCGAGAUGGGACAUCAUGUGUAGACCUAAGGAUCAAGGAGGUUUAGGGAUUGAAAAUUUAGAGAUUAAAAAUAAAUGUCUACUCAAUAAAUGGCUGUCUAGAUUAUCUAUGGAGACAAAGGGGUUGUGGGUACAAAUUCUGACGAAUAAAUACCUACAAAACAAGACUUUGGCGCAGGUUACAUUGAGACCAACUGAUUCACCGUUCUGGAAGGGGGUCAUGCGGUCUAAGAAUGCUUUUUUUCUCAGGUCUAAGUUUGUUAUUGGCAAUGGCCAAUCUACUAGAUUUUGGGAGGAUACUUGGUUGGGGGAGACGCCUUUAGCCAUGCAGUAUCCGCAACUCUACCAUAUUACACAAAGGCGUCAGGCGACUGUUGCGUCAAUUUUGCGCCAGGUUCCUCUAAAUAUUCAGUUAUGUAGAGCCUUAAUAGGUAACACAUGGUCAAGCUGGCUGCAUCUAGUGAGAAGGUUGUUGGAUAUUACCCUUACUGAGAACCCUGAUAGUGUUCGUUGGAAGUUGACCACUGAUGGAGUUUUCUCGGUAAAAUCUAUGUAUUUAGAUCUCAUAGAUUCUGUGUCCAUCCCGAAGUCCUUACAUAUUUGGAAGGUCAAAGUUCCACUUAGAAUUAAGAUCUUCAUGUGGUUUGUUCGCAAGGGGGUUAUUCUAACUAAGGAUAAUUUGGUCAAACGUAAAUGAAAAGGUAAUACUAGAUGCAGUUUUUGUGAGAACGAUGAAACAAUUAAACACCUCUUUCUGGACUGUCCUAUGGCUAAACUUCUAUGGCGAACACUUCUUAUUACUUUCAACAUUAAGCCACCCAAUAGUUUAAACACGUCAUUUGGGACGUGGUUAAGAGGGGUCGAUGAUAUAACUGCUAGCCUGAUCCGAGUAGGAUCAUGUGCACUUCUGUGGGCUACAUGAAACUGUAGAAAUGACUUGGUAUUUAACAAACAUCAACAUAUUCACUUUUUGCAGGUCAUUUUCAGGGUUAUUGCCUUGAUCCGCACAUGAUCAUUACUCACUCCUGUGGAAGCCAGGGAGCCUAUGGUUACUGGGUGUGUCCGAUGGAAGAUGGUAGCUCAGGUUAUCUUCAACCGUUUUGGAUGACGGCAUAUUAAUAGGAUAGGUGUUUAGUCAUCUAGGCUUAUUUCAAUGCCUCCCGGUUGUGGCGACGACGCCGUGUAUCUUUUUGUUAUUUUCUUCAUUUACUUAUCUGAAGACUCUUUGUACUUUUCGAGGAUUUGGUUUUGAAAUAAUAUAUGGCCGUAUGCAUCCUUCGAUGCCGAGGCCGGGGCUUUGCCUCCUUUUCAAAACAAAAAAAUUUAAUUUAUCCUUUCAUUGUUAACCCCUUUUUUGGACUGCAGUUAUUCUAACUCUCUUUUAAGUAAUGUAAUAAGGCAUAUCUUUUUCCUCCAUUUCGAGACAAAGUUCGGACCUAGCACAACUGUAACAUCCGCUCUACAUCGACUCACUCUAGAGAGACUAGUCUUGGCACCUUUUGCAGAACAUGAUUAGUGUCCUGACAUGGAGUAUUUUAGCAUAUAAUGGUCAACUCUCAAGCACAUAUCACUUCAAAUUGCAUUGCUGAAAAAGAACAUACACUUGCACGUUUUUCGAACUUUCACGCAACAAUAAAGUAACUCAAUGAAAUAUUAUGAUACACUCAAAAACAAUAAUAAGCACUCAACAAAAUAUCAACAGUUUUAUUUUGAUGGACGUAGUAGGACUGUAUCUGUUGUCCACUUGGCUACUUUAUCAACAUAUUUAUUUCAACCACCCUGAUCAACAGACAAUAUCUAAGUAUGUUAUGCUAAUUGAGUUAAAAUGGAUAAUCCUUAUUUUAUAAGAUGCAAGGAGUCGAAACAUAUUGUGAUUAGUUGCAUGCUACUAGCCUACUACAACACUAUUGAUCUUAGUUAAGAAGAUUAUCUUGUGAUUAGACGAAGUCUAGAUCAUCUAGCCAAGUAUGAAAAUAUUUAAAGGAGCGUGUGGAUACCUUUUCUUCUUUAAUAAAGGAAAAAAAAUUGUGUAUAUAUGCGAGUCUGAAAACAAAGAAAAGAAAGAUGGACAGCUUAUCACAGCUUCACAUAUGUCAUCUACUCCCUGCGUUCCUAAAUAUAAGUCUUUUAAAAGAUUUUACUAAAAGACUAUAUAUGAAGCAAAAUGAAUGAAUCUACAUUUUAAAUAUAUCUAUAUACAUUCUUUAGAAAGACUUAUAUUUAGGAACGGAGGGAGUAAUAGCUAAUUGAGGGGUUCAAAUAACUUUGUUUCGCAAUAAUGAUUGAAAAUCAACCUUUUGUUGAAAUCCGAAACUCUACGUACGGUAGACCUAUUUUUAUCAAGGGAAUCAACAAAGAUGAUCUGCUACAUAAAAAUGCGCGUAUGGUCACUCACGAGCCACAAGGACGAUGCUUGAGUAGUGAUGAGUGAGGUGCACGAUGAGAUUAAAUAUUCCAACUAGUGUAACCGAAAAGUAUAGUAAGUUAGACAUCGUUCUUGGUCCACGAAAAUAGUGGCGUGAUCGAUGACAUCUUGAUGCCGGCCGGAGACUAGGAUCUGGCUGUUUGAUAGGGUACCAAUUAAUUUAUACCCUCCACUUGGCCAACUUACUUCAUCACCAGUCGAUAACUGUAUACGCAUUGUUCCAUAUUCAUGCAUGCACGUGCUUACAGCCCAAGAGCAUUGGGUUUAGCUGGUGCUGUCUGAUCCGCUUGAACUCGUAGAAAAAGGGCCUUUGGCCUGGACCCUUUAGUCCCAGCCUGUCUUUCGGUCGGAACUAAAAGCCGGCCACGUCAUCCCAAAUUAUCAGUUUAACCCGCUUGGCCACCAUUUAUAUCAUUAAAAAACCUCAAAUUUGUAGCGGGGUGAGUUUACAUGUUACCUUGGAUCGCCAUUGUUUUUUUGGCCCUGCGUGUAACGACGAUGGCCGGAGUAGGCUCGUGCAGAUUAGUCCUCCUCUUGGUAAUUAAGGAGUAUAUAUCCACUAGCUAGUGUCUGACAUUCAGAACCUCCACUCGAUGGCCAGAGUAUUUGAUAUUUAUACUCUCCUCUUGGUAAUUAAGGAGUGCAUAUCCACUAGCUAGUGAUCUAAACGUUUCUAUAUUAAUUUAUGGAGGAAAUAUUUAAUAAGGUUAUUACCCAACAUUACAGGCGCCAUCCGAUAAACCAUAUCACUUUUUUUUGCGAGGACCUAAACCAUAUUCAAAAUGCAGAAUUACUGGCACGUGGUGUAGUUUACGGAUCGAGCCUCCUCCUUCGUGGGCACCAUAGUAGUCAUGCAAGACAUCGUAGUUAUAUAGUGGUCAAGUGUGAGUUAUGAUUGCUUGUAUAUUUUUUAUGCGAUUUAUGAGUCAAUAAAAGUGCUUUUAUUGAGAAAUGUAUCUAUAUUGAUUAUUGUUGAACCUGCCAUUAAUGUAACUAUUUACACAUGUGCGGGGCCAUGCCGUCCAACACGAGGAGCUUCAAAGCGUAUGUGUGGGAGGGGAGUGCGUCGAUGCUGCAAUGACGAACUGCUCUUGGUCGGCGUCCAGCCGGUGUUCCUCACCGGCCAGACCGAGGACCAUAGGGACAUCAUCGUCACCAACCUCCACCGCCCGAGUUCAAGGGCUCCACGGUAACCUACAAGUCUCAUGAGAGGCAGAAGUUGCCGACGACCUGGUAUGUCAUCGUGGGCACCAUUGAUGACCAAGGGAACGACAUCCUGGGGGUAUCCGGUGGGGGGCACACCUUCAAGUUGCCCGACCACAACGGCUAGGCUACAUAGAGAUCGGCCAUGCCUUGAUUGAUUUCUUGAGUAAGCUCUAUGCUUUCAAUUGUAUGCAUGUUUAGUAAACAAUCCCUCCCUAGUUGUUGCUUUGUUCAUUUUCAUUGUCGAGAACUUGAGAUCAAUAGUUAGUAUUUAUAAGACGUGUUACGCUAAAAGUUGCAUGCAACAUAAUCAAUGGUUUGUUGGUUUUAUUGUUUCUCUCUAUUACGAGAUCCAUGGGCUAUAUUGUUGUUUGAUGUAUUGUAAUUCUUAACUUGGAUCUGUAAUAUUGAUCAUGGUGUACUUUUUAACUAAAGAUUGUUGAUGGUGGAAUUAGUAUGAAAGGUACAUAGUGCUGUCACACAUAGGGUGUCACUACUCCCAUUUUGGCCCAACAGAAGGAAGGGUCAUCAUUUACGGGUCACCAGACUGCGUUAGUAUAGAGGCAACAAGGUAUUUUAACCAUGCCGAACAUCAUUAUUGUGAAGAUUAAAAAUGAGGCGGCAACUUGGGUCAAUUUUUGGGGUGGAGGAUUUGAGAAACACUAUGCCCCGUGAGAAACUCCGCUAUAUUAUUUAAGUCUUUCGUUUUUAGCCUCUCUUUUUUCGGCAGCGGUUCUUCCAACUCUCCUAGUAAAUAGAAAGGGGGAAAGAAAAUCUUUUGCCUCCAUUUUGAAAAAGAAAAGGUUGAGACUAACAUCCCUUUCCAUCGACCCACUCUAGAGAGUGUCUCCAACCUUGUUUUCUUGGCCCUUUUGCAUGACAUGAGUAGUGUCCUAACAUGGACUCCUUGAUGUGUAACGCUCAGCUCUCCUGACCAAAUCGCUUAGAAUUACAUCACACGCAAAAGUUAUAUACUUUUGCAUGUUUUUCGCACGUCAAUGCAACAUUAAAAAUUUCAAUGAAACAUUAUGAUACAUUUUGAAACAAAAAAGAACUCAGCAAAACAUACUGUGGAAAUAGAAAAUUUUUGCCAACAACUAAAAAAACGCAGUCAUCAAUUUAGCCGCAACAAAAAUAAGAUGUUAGAAGUCAGAACAUCUUGUGCAUGAUUAUAUGCUAUAGGACUAUUCAUUAGAGAAACUAGUUGGGUAAAACUUUCUCCUUUUUCCGAAUCUCCUUUUUAAUGUGGGGAAAAAGCUAAUGCAUUGUGGUUUAAAGUAAAUAUUACAUCGGCCUGGGAAAUUUAAAAUGAAUCUAGACUGGACGGCUACAAAGAGAACCAUAAAAGUAUUCAAGCACGUCAGAAGAAAAGGAAAGAUAAAAUUCAAAAAAGAAAAGAGAAAAGGAAAGAUGAACAACCUAUCACUUGCCUCAUAUCUUUACCUAAUAAUAAAGAGGCUAUUGCUUCCGUCGAAAAACCCACCGCUGCCGUUUUUUAAAAAGCCCCCUGUCUUUUAGGUAAUUAAACCCGCAGUACCUUUUUAUGUGUUACGAACAUGAAAACGUUUCAUUUUUGCAGGGAGCCUCCCAUGGCAUUGGAUAAGAGAAACGCAUCUGGGCUGACGAAAACGCACGAGAGGGCUAUCGCUUCUGCCCUCAUAAUCCCACAUCGAUACUUCACAGAUAAUUUCAUCACUUUAUAUACAUGCGCCUUGGUGAUUUUACAAGAGGCAACGGAAAUCAAGAGAGGAACAAAUUCGAGAAGAAGAAAUUGAGAUGACGCAAACAGAGGUGGAGCUGCGAGACAGAGGGGGCUCGGGGCGAAGGAAAGGGUCGGGCGCCGGCGAUGCAUACGUGGAGGUGGGGGCGUCGGGGUUAGAGGAUUCAGGCAACCGGCGGGGUAAGUCUUGCCGGAGACUGGCCCCAUAGGCCGACCUCGCAGCAGCACACCAUGGGAGGUGGUCGCGAGGUGCAGAGGUGGGAGGCGGUGGAGGAGCGGAGGAGGAGGCGAGUGCGGGCGCCAUUGGAAGGGGGGAGUCGGGGAGAUUGGGGAUCCUGUGGGGCUCUCUCCCCUAGCGGCGCGAGGUGGAGGAGAGGAGGGGGGCUGGGGAUCGGGCUAGGUUAGGGGAUUUAGGAGUGGGUAAGGCUAUGCCUUGGCACGCCUAAUGGGUUGUGCACUACUACUCAUCUCUCUUUCCUUUAAUUUCUUUAUCUAAAUUCUUUAAUUAAAAAUAUGUGGUAUUAUUUUUUUUCCGUUGCAACGCACGGGUCCUUUUGCUAGUAUCAUCUAACAAAUCGAGGGGUUCGCAUAGAUCUGCUUCGCCACAUAAUAAUAUAAUCAUGACAAAAGGCUACCUUCUGGUGAAAGCAGAAGCUCUGCAAUAAAGCUGCAAUCGUAGACCUAUUUUAUGAAGGGAACCAACAAAUCGAGCUGCACAAUCCAAUUAAAUACUAAUUCCUCCGUUCCUAAAUAUAAGAUUUUUUAAAGAUUAUAUUAUGAACUACAUAAAAAGAAAAAUGAAUGAAUCUAUAUUUUAAAAUAUGUUUAUAUACAUUUGUAUGUAGUUCAUAGUUAAAUCUAUAAAAGGUCUUAUAUUUAAAAACAGAGGGAGUAUAAGUACUGAGUAAGUUUGACAUUUGUUCUUGGUCCAACAAAACAGUCGUGUGACCCAUGACGAAGCGGCGAUGCCGGAGUUGGAUCUCACUGUCUGAUAUUUAUCGAUUUGUGCCCUCCACUUGGCCAGCUUAAUUGAUCACCAGUCUCUUUCAUUGACAAUUAGUGCUGCUCAUACACGUGCGUUGCAUACAGAUGAUAUAUUGGGUUUAGGUACGGCUGUCUGAUCCACUUGGCCACCUUCUCACUAGAAAGCUCAAGUUUGCAGCGACGAGUUUGCAUGUUACUACAUUGGAUCGCCGUUGUUUAGCCCUGCGUGUGUGAUGAGGGGCGGAGACCCGGAGCAGACCCGUGCAGAUUCGUAUUCCCUUGGUUAUGUUUUAUUCUGUAUAUUAGGUUUGUAUAAUGUAAAACCUAAAUUUGCUUCGCCACAUAAUAUAAAAUAAUAUAAUCAUGACAAAGGCUACCUUCUGGUGAAAGCAGAAGCUCUGCAAUCAAGCUGCAAUCGUAGACCUAUUUUAUGGAGGGAACCAACAAAUCGAGCUGCACAAUCAAAUUAAAUACUACUCCCUCCCUUUUUAAAUAUAAAAACUUUUAAAAAUUAUACUAUGAACUAUAUAAGAAACGGAAUGAGUGAAUCAAUACUCUAAAAUACUCCCUCCGUUCUAAAAUAGGUGUCUUAACCUUAAUACAAUUUUGUACUAGAUCUAGUACAAAGUUGAGACAAUUAUUUUAAGACAGAGAGAGUAUGUCUAUAUAUAUUUAUAUGUAGUUUAUGUUGGCUUUGGAUCCGUAGAUUAAUUCACCCAGUAGCUACCACAUACGUGCAAGCUAGCCUCUAAGCUAGCAAGCAGGCACACAAGUGGAUGGAUAUCCAAUUCGUAGAAAUAGAACGACGUACGACGAGCUAGCUAACUGAUUCGAUCGUCUUGACUGCUCGGAAUGUAACUCGUUGAAAAACUGAUCGAUGGAUUGCUAACAGGCUCGUAUCGAGCCUGGUACUUUUUUAUUGCGUUUUGAUCUCUGGUGUUACAAGCAACAUCUCUAGGAUGCCUUUUAUACACAUCCACAAGGAACUAUGAAAAUAGACUAGGACUAGGUAUCCUAAUACUACUAGAACUCGGUUUGAUUUUCUUUCCUAAUCCUAUGUGUACAAGGCAACGUGAUUAACUCACAUUCACCCCCUAAUCACGAUGUCCUUACUUCCGACCUGGGUCCCAAACACGAUUGCUGCUUCUCAUAAAUGUUAUCAUCGACAUGGCCUUUGUCGUCCCUUGCAACAUUUUAUGGACCGUCUUUACUGUCGUCGGCUCGUCCGUAGCUCGAUGACAACACUCCUUUUUGGUCGUGUCUUCAAUCUUCAUCUCUUCUUCGGUGCUUUGUAGACUGUCCUUCGGAUCAUCGAGGGUACAUCUUUUGAACCUGAGCGUGACCAUACUUUGGUCUAACUUUGAAUUUCAAGCUCUUGGCGCUUGCAUCAGCCCGUAACUUUGAACCACAAGGAAGAAGUACUUCUUUCCUCCGUGAGUUGCUGGGGUGAUAGGGCCACAUAGAUCACCAUGGAGCAGCUAGAGUGCAUCACUUGCACGAUAGGUAGACUGAGCAGGGAACGGCCUGCGGUGCUGUUUUCCAACCAAGCACCCGUCACAUACUCGAUCAACAUGGUCGAUAACUGGCAUCCCGGAUACCAUCUCCAUCUUUGACAUCUUCUUCAAGGCGUAGAAGUUAACAUGUCCGAAUCAUCAUCACUCUUGGCGAGCCAACACUCCAGUUGAGAUUGAUCAAGGUUGAGGAUAUAGAGCCUGUUCCGUGUGCGAGUAACACGAGCUAGCACGUUUCGGAGGUUGUCGAAGAUCGUCAUUACUCCGUUAUCGAUACCCACCUUGCAUCCAUUCUCGUCAAGCUUCCCAAUAAAGAUGAUGUUGUUGUGAAGCCGUGGGAUGUAGUACACUCCGGUAAGUAUGCGAUGUUCGCCUGUGAGACCCUCGAAGAGGACAGAUCCUUGCCCACAAAUCUCCACAUUUGAACCAUCACCGAACUUGACUGAGCCUUCAACAUCGUAUUCCAGCUCGAGGAAUUUCUCCUUGCACCCCGUCAUGUGGUUACUGGCACCCGUGUCGAGAUACCACAACACAUUCUGAUCACCAGCUAACUUCGGUGUCACUUUGUUUUCAUGAAGUAGCACCUUCCGGCUUGGUUUCACAACCACCGUUUCAGCGAGAUCACAAACUUCGGCCAUCAGAAGACCUGGACCUUCGUCUUCCUCCUUUGCCAAAUUUGCCUUGAUCUCUCGCUUGUCAUGCUCCGGACAAUCCUUUGCAAAGUGACCCAUCUCGUUGCAGUUAUAGCACUUGACCUCGGACAUAUCCAAGUUCCGUUGCUUCCGCCCUUUAGAUCGGUCAGCCUUACCACGACCUUGUAGCUUGCCUUUUCCUUUGCCUUCUCCGGUUUGUCCGCCGCGCGUUGUGCUGCUUGAGCCUUCGUUGCCAUCACACCUUCCUUUGCUACUUGGGGACUCCCAAUCUGCACGUGAGUACAUGAGUUGGUCACUACCUCCUCCGUUGCCUUCCCGACAACUACGAGAAUUCUCUUCCCACGUCCGCAGGCGUCCGAUCGCCUCCGUUAUGGUCAUGUCGUCGAUGUCGUAAAGCUGCUCGAGCGUGCCAAUGAUGUACGUGAAUUUUUUAGUCACCGAACUGAAAAAUUUCUCCACAAUCUCGGUCUCCUCGAGCUUUGCACCAAGCGCGCGGAUCUCUCCCACCAAAGUAGUAAGACGCAUGGCAUAGUCGUUCACCGAUUCAGUUUUCUCCAUCUGCAACUUGUGAAAUUGGCGCUUCAGCACUUGUGCCCGAGCCUUGGUGACGCGAUCUUCUCCGAUCCUCAUCUCGUUGAGUGCGUUCCACGCCUCUCUUGCCGUCUCGAACUCCACCAAUGUCAUCAGCACGGAAUCCGGCACAGACUGGGCUAUGGCGGCCAUGGCACCUUCGUCGCGCUCCUCGUCGACGUCGUCGUCCGUGAUGGCCUCCCACACUCGAAGAGAUCGGAGAAUAAUCUUCAUCUUCACCGCCCACACGUCAUAGUUGGCAUCGGUGAGCAUCGGGUACUGGAUGGGGAUGUUGCGAUGCGCCUGGACGUUGGCGCUGCUCGUUCCUCCAUCACUCGUUGCUGACUUGUCGUCCUUCUUCACCUUGUCGUCGUUCUUGUUCGCCUUGGCACCGCCUUUGCCGGAUUUGACCGACUCAGCGUCGCUGUCCGUCAUCGUAGAUCGUAGAUCGUCGAGGCUCUGAUACCAAUUGUUGGCUCUGGAUCUGUAGAUCAAUUCACCCAGCAGCUACCACGUACGUGCAAGCUAGCCUCUAAGCUAGCAAGCAGGCACACAGGUGGAUGGAUAUCCAAUAGAACGACGACGAGCUAGCUGACUGAUUCGAUCGUCUUGACUGCUUGGAACGUAACUCGGUGAAAAACUGAUCGAUGGAUUGCUAACAGGCUCGUAUCGAGCCUGGUACUUUUUGUAUUGCGUUUUGAUCUCUGGUGUUAUAAGCAACAUCCCUAGGGUGUCUUUUAUACACAUCCACAAGGGACUAUGAAAAUAGACUAGGACUAGGUAUCCUAAUACUACUAGGACUCGGUUUGACUAUCUUUCUUAAUCCUAUGUGUACAAGGCAACGUGAUUAACUCACAGUUCAUAGUUGAAUCUUUAAAAGGGCUUAUAUUUAAGAACGAAGGGAGUAUAAGUAGUGAGUAAGUUUGGGACACGCCGUUUUGGCUCCCGGACUCAGAUGAGCCCGAGCGUAAACAGUACGCCAGUUUGGGGUGCAAAAAAUGUUCCAAAAAAUCAAAAAAAAUUGUGAUGCAAGAUGCUCCUAUGUGUGAACUCUCUGUAAAAUUUUGUGAAGUUUGGACAUACGAGGAGCUCACUGCAAAAAAGACGAAAUUCAGAUGUGUGAGAAACUUUUGAAAAUCACACUAUUCAUGCCUGAUUUUGUCUUUUUUGCUGCAAACUCUUCAAAUGUCCAAACUUCAUAAAAUUUUACAGAGUUCACACAUCGAAGCAUCUUGCAUCAUAAAAAAAUAUUUUUUUUAAACUUUUUUGUAUUCCAAACCGUUGUACUGUUCACCGGGCUCAUACGAGCCCGGGCUCACAGAUGGAUUACCGGUAAGUUUGACAUUUGUUCUUGGUCCAACAAAACAAUGGUGUGAUCGAUGACCAAGCGGCGAUGCCGGAGUUGGAUCUCGCUGUGUGAUAUUUAUCGAUUUGUGCCCUCCACUUGGCCAGCUUAAUUGAUCGCCAGUCUCCUUCAUUGACAAUUAGUGCUGCUCAUACACAUGCGUUGCAUACAAAUGAUAUAUUGGGUUUAGGUACGGCUGUCUGAUCCACCUGGCCACCUUCUCACUAGAAAAGCUCAAGUUUGCAGCGACGAGUUUGCAUGUUACUACUCCCUGUGUACCGAAAUAUAAGACCUUUAAGAAAAAUUCCGACCAGAUGAAAAUGUGGACAAUUGACCAGGUUACCCCCCACCUCCGGCAGCUCGCUAAUUUCAAAUCAACCCAGAUCCAGUCGCCCCCCACCUCCGGCCAGCUCGCUAAUAACCCAGAUCUCACUACUCUGCUUGUCCGCUCCCUCCUCUGCCCCAGCUUGUCCGCUCCCUCCUCUGCCCCAGCUUGUGCGGCCCCUCCUCUGCCCCUACCUCCUCUGCCCAGCUCGUCUGCUAGCUACCAGCAGCUUCUCCAGUAGCCAGCGGCAGCAGCUCCUCCGGCAGCUAGCAGUAGAUCCAGCAGCUCCUCCACCAGCCAAUAGGAACUCCAGCAGCUCCUCCACCAGCUAGCACGAGCUCCAGCAGCUCCUCCACCAGACACCAGCACCAGCUCAUCCACCAGCCAGCGGCAGCCCCUCUGUCUGCCGGCAGAAGCAGCUCUUCCGCCUCUGCACUCCCAGCUGCCUCAACGAGGUCCUCUCCCAGUGAUGCACCCAUCGCCCAACAGAUCGCCGGAGGUUUUUCUUUUGAUCCAGGGUGCAGAUCGCCACAGGAGGUCCUAGUGGUGUUGGAUCCUGCUUAUCCCGUCUCCUGCAAACCAAAAAAGCAGGACAAUUAGAGGGUAUUUAUCACAACUUAGCAACAGUUGAACAGAAAACAGUUUAACAACAGCAGCAAAAAUUUUAGCGAGAUCAACAACAUCAGUAGCAGCAUCAAGACAUAGCAACAAUAGCAGCAAUAGGGAGACAUAGAAGUAGCGACAUGGAGUGGCAGCAGGAGUUCAUCAAAAUCAAUAGGGAGUAGCAGCAGCAGGAGUUCAUCACAAUCAAAAUCAACAGGGAGUGGCAACAACAUGGAAUUUGACCUCAACUGUACUCCGCCCGAAGAAGAUGAGAUCAGUCAAAAUGAGAUCAACAUGGAGGACUCACAGGGAGGCAAUGAUCAUGUUGAAGAUGAGAUCAACAUGGAGGACUCACAGAGAGGCAAUGAUCCUGGUGAACAUGAUAUGAACAUGGAGCAAAUAAGGGGAGGCAAUGAUCCCCACGAAGAUGAUAACAGUAAGCACAAUAUACUCAUUUAGCAGUAACAGUGUCUCAUUUACCAAGUUUUUGAAAAUGAACAGCAAGUCUAGUUUCUGAAGAUGAACAGUAACUCCACUUUCUAGAAAUAAACAGUAAUAGUAACUCAUUUGAUCAUUUGAACAUGUGACCAUUUAAAUAUUUUAUCAAUUUAUCAUUUGAUAAUUUGAGUAGGACUAAUAUUUUUUCAUUGUUGUGUUUCUUGUUGCAGUUCUUGAGCAAGGAGUUAGAAAGAGGAAAACUCUGAGUGACCAACAAAAAUAUGCUGCUUAUGUGGCAUUGCACAUAUUAUGUAUGAGUAGAGGUGGAAAGUUCAAGAUAACGGAUAAGAAAAACCUUGCACAUUUUUUUAAUGUAGAAUUGAGGAGUAUACAAAGAGUUUGGCAGAAGGCGAUGAAGCAAAUUUCAGAAGGUUUCGAGGUGGAUGUUUCCAACCAGAAAAAAGGAAAUGUGGAAGAAAACCAAAGGACAUCAACCUAGAGAAAAUCCCUACAAUACCACUCAAUAGUAGGUCUACUAUCAGAUCAUUAGCCUGGCAACUGGGAUGUAGCCCUACCACUCUCCACAGGAAUUCAAAAUGAAGUUGAUAAAGAGGCAUACAAACUGUGUCAAGCCAGCUCUAAAGGAAAAGAAUAAGAAGGAUAGAAUGAAAUUUUGCUUGUCAAUGCUUGAUGAGGCAACAACAAAAACUGCAAGGCCUAAGUUCAAGACUAUGCAUAAUGUUGUACAUAUUGAUGAGAAGUGGUUUACGAUGACCAAGAAGAAUAAAACUUAUUAUCUGCUGGAUGGGGAGGAAGAGCCUACAAGGCCUAUACAUGGCAACUGUAUUGGCAAGGUUAUGUUCUUGACGGGCGUAGCUAGGCCACGGUGGGAUAGUGAAGGAAAUGUGACCUUCUCUGGAAAAACCGAUGAACUCACGAUAAACUGCGUGCGCUCUUUGUCCCAGUUUCAGUUCCCUUGUUCUUGCUUUUCUAUAUCCCGAUGAACUCACGAAUCCAUGAUCCAUGGUCAAUCCCCAAUAUAUAUACUCAAGCAAUAUACUCUCUCAGCAGUAUAUAAUCAAUCAUACAGGAAAGAGUAUCACUCUCUCAGCAGAAUACAUACUCACGAAUCCAUGGUCAAUAGCAGCAUAUACUCCGUGUGGGGAUUAGUCUAGCUCGUAAGCCACGGGUCCAAAUCAAGCAAUAUAUCUACACUAGAAUCUGUAGCAGAGUACACAUCUGACAAAACCGAGAGAUGUGGAGAGGAAGGGGGUAAGAGACGGAAGGGUACCUGGGUGAGGUCGCUGAGGUGGAAGCAGCCGGUGGAGCGGUCGAGGUCGCCGCUAGGGUGUCGCCGGUGCACUGGAGCUCUGCCAACUCGUCCCCAACUCGACGCCCAGCUCGACGCCCAGUCCGGCGCCCAGCUCGAUGCCCAGGUCGACGCCGUCAUUGCUCGGGCUCGGCUUCAGCGCCUCCUUCACCCUGUCCUUGCUCGCCCAGCUCGUCGGCUUCUUGGUCUCGACGAGGCUCCCGCUGAAGUACUCCACCCCCGCCGCCGCAUAGACGAGCAACCCAACUGAGGGCGCCCGCAGCUCCCGCUGAAGUGAUCUGCUAUGUCCAGCACCACUCCGUCAUCCAUAUCCAACAUCGGCGCCCACACCAGCUCUGUCGAUGCAAAACAAACACAUUUUUGACCUUUGAGUGGGAAAGGAAGGAGAGGAAGCACGCAGUGGGAAAGGAAGGAGACAACACACGCGGUGGGCUGUGGGAGGAAGAACGCGGUGGGCUGUAGGAGGAAGAACGGUGGGCUACGGUGGCCGGCGACGACGUAGAGAGGCGACGAGGGAGGGGAAUGAGAGGGUGUGAGAUCUGGGCAGCGAGUGGAUGAGAAUGGGCAGGUGGGGGCAUUUUCGGAAACUCGGAAAGUUUCGUAGUGUCGCGAGAUUUACACUAGAAUCGCUAAAACGUCUUAUAUUUCGGUACAGAGGGAGUACAUUGGAGCAGACCUGUGCAGAUUCGUACUCCCUUCGUUUUUAUUUAUUCUGUAUAUCAGGUUUAUAUAAUGUCAAACCUAAAUCCUUUUAACAAAUUUGUAGAAAAAUAUAUCAACAUAAUCCCUUCAUUUCACAAUUUAGCGCUCGUUCGUGUGCUUUUCGAGAUCUAAGUUUGACCAUACCUUUAAACAAGAAGACCGAUUGCUAUGGGAGCAAAAAUUGAAUCACUGAAUUUGUAUUGAAAUUAAAUACUGAAUUUGUAUCGAAAAUAUAAAUUCAUUGGUAUAAUUUCUGUUGCCACCGCAGUCGGUCUCGUUGGUGAAAUUUAUGGUCAAACUUAGACCUCAAAAAACGCGAGCGCACUACAUUGUGGAACGGAGGGAGUAUACACCAUCAAAUCAAUAUCAUUGGAUUCAUCAUUUCAUAUAUUUUCACAUCAUAUAAAUUUAUUAUUGUAAAUGUUCAUAUCGUUUUCUACAAAUUUCAUCAUACUUUAGAUAGUUUGACUUCAGACAAAACUAAUAUGAGGAGUAAAUAAAAUCAGAGGGGUACCACUCCUAGUAAUUAAUGUGUAUAUCCACUAGCUGCUGAUUGACAUUCAAAUUCUCCACUUGACGAUGGCCAGAGUAUCUGAUAUUCAAACUCUCCACUUGGCCACCUUAUUUCUUCUCCCCAAAUGAGCUAUGAACUGCUCAUUCAUCCAACAUUAAAAUCACUGUGAUGAAACUCUACUCUUUCAGUUUCAUAAUUAGUGCAUAUAGUUUUUCCCCAAAAAACUAAACUUUGACAAAGAUUAUAAAUAAAAAGUCUAUAUCUAGCACAUUGAAUACAUACCAAUAGAUUCGUCAAAAAUAUUUGCAUAUAUUAUAUGAUGGUAUUGUGGAUAUACAUAGAGUUAUCUAUAAACUUGGUCAGAUUUUACAAUGUUUGACUUUUCUAUAAAACCAAUAUGCACUACACUAGGGGAUGGAGGGAGUAUCGUAUGAAAUAUUAUGUGGAAUUAUUCCGUUUCAGACAAUGUUUGGUAUCAAACACAACAGGUACAAUGUUCUAUAGUUUCUCCAAUGUGCAGAAUUAUUAGUUGAAUUGGCAAUUAUUUACAGGAGGGGAGUGCGCUGGUGUGACCGAAAACUAAGUGGAUCGAUGUAUAACAAGCUUCUUUUGGUCGGCAUCAAGACGGUGUUCCUCAUUGUCCGAAUCGAGGACCGGAGUGCAGUAAAUUUUACCAAUCUAUGAUGCGCUCUGGGUGGAUGAAACUGCUCCAAAAGUUGCCCGAGUUCAACGACUCUGUGGUGACCUACGAAUCCGGCGAGCGGCAGAAGUUGCAAGACGUCAGGUAUGAUAUCGUAGGCAACAAUAGUGACCAGUGGAGUGACAUCCUCGACACACCCAAGGGCACCCGCACCUUUAAGCUUCCCUACCCGAUGUACUAAAUCGGCUAGGUUGAAUGCUAGCUAAUCGUCCACGAAUAAGCUCCAUGUUGUUCACUAUCCAUGCUUUGUGAUUACCUUUUUUCCGGGCAUGCUUCCUCAAUACUAAUCCACUAUUACUGCUAGUUUUCUAAUUUCUAUUGAGAAAUCUAUUGCUGCUUGGUUAAAUUCCAUAGUUGGGACCUUGAGUCAGUUACUAGUAUUAAUAAGGUAUGCUACAAAGAAAUUGCAUCUUGCAUAAUCAAUGAAUCGAUGCUCCAUUUUUCCUUGAUUAUAUAAUAUAUGUAGUUUCUAUUUUACACUUUGAUUUAUUUAUUUUUUACUUUUAAUAUUUCCUUUUUUUUCAUUUUCUAGUUUUAUGUUUUAUUUUUUUAUUUGAUCUCCCUUAUGUAUUUAUUUUCUUAUUUUAUUCUUUAGAAUGCUUUCUAUUUGUAAAAAAUAAUGAAUUUUUCCAUACCCUAAUAGUUAAAAACAAUUCCGGGAUAUUAAAAUUACGAUGAACAAGGUCCUAAUAUACGUCGAGAUUUUCCCAAAUACCUGAUGAAUAGUUUUUAUAUGUUUAAGUACAUUUAUAAUUUUGUAAUUACACCAUCAAAUUUAAAUAUAUUUUAAAUAUUUGUUGAAUGCACAAAAAGCAUUUACUAAAUAAUUCGGAACAUUUGCUAUUACAUUGUGAACAUUUCUAGAAUACACAUUGAACAGUUUCCAAACCAUGAUGACUUUUCUAAAUAUGCAUUAUAAAAUUUUCAGUUACACGAACUAAACUGUUUUACCCUGAAUUAUUAUUAUUUUUAAAUUUGUUUUUUCUUAGAAUUAUAAAUAAAAUUAAAUUGAAGUGUUUCAGAGUAUAAAGGACAGAACGGGUAAAAACAAUGACAGAAAAAAUAAAAAUUGCAUUGGGUCGGGUCAUUGUGGAAUACUAUGGGCGAGCCCAAAGGAGUGUUCAUUACUGGUGAAUUAUAGUAGCAACGUGAGGGAAAGUGUGCUUCUCAGCCCGAGCUCAAAUGAGCUCUGGUGAACAGUAAAAUCCAAAAAUAAUUAAAAAAAUAUGAAAUUGUUUGGUGAAAGAAAUUGAAAAUAGUCGUAACUGCCUCCAAAAUUGUAUUAUGAAAUAACAUUUAUUGAAGCCAUGGAGAAAACAAAAUCGAUACUCCAAAAUGCUUUUGAAAUUAGUAUUUUCAGAGUAUCGAUUUUGUUUUUUUGCCACAUGUCACACAAAUGUGAUUUUCUGAUGAAAUCUUGCAAGAUAUUAGAACUUUUGCCAAUGUUUAUCACAAAAAAAAAUAGAUUUUUCUGGAUUUUUUUAAUUUAGUUUUGAUUUUACUGUUCAUCAAAGCUCAUUUGAGCUCGGGCUGAGAAACUCCACAUCCCAACGUGAGCGCCUAUUUGGUGUCGUGCUCAUUUCUGGUAGCCGACAAACUGAGUGGUUUUGUGCGUGACGUAAAAGACACAAAACAAUCAGGGCACUUCGAAGGAAUCAACGUUGUGUCCUUUCACAGGGAAUGCGUGAUGCUAGUUGCUGGCCACUCGUGCCAACAAUUUUUGCUAAUAGAAACACAACAACAAUGUGCAGGAAAUUACUGCAGCGGUGAAUUCCAAAUAUUUUCUAAAGUACACAAAUAUUUCAUCAAAUCUGAACGUUUUUUGAAAAAUCACAGUAUUUUUAAGAUGCCCAAUAUUUUUUUUAACUUUUCAGAAUAUUUUAAAUUUCAAACUUUUUUUUUAAAUUGCCAAACAUGUUUUGAAUUUGUGGACAAAACUUUUGAACAGAGAAACAGUUUUACAACAUCUGAAACCUUUUUUGGAACGCAAUAAGUUUUUCCAAAUUUCCAAGCAUUUACAGAAAAUGGAACAUAUAUUGACCAUUUCCAAACAUUUUUCAAAAACAUGAAUACUUUUUGAUUUAUGAACAUCAUUUCAAAACAGGAACAUUUUUUGAUAAUUCUGAACUAUGUUAGAAAAUGCGAACAAUUUUUGGACGUUUGUUGAGAACCCAAUCAUUUUUAGAAGAAAAACAAUUAUUAAAGUUUCAGACAUUUUUUUACUUGUGAAGUAAUGACCAAAGAAAACCAUAAAAUGUAAAACAACCGAAAAUAAGGAAAAAAGGAAAGAAAAAGUUGAAAAAAAUAAAAAUAUGAAUAAUAAAAAAUAAUAAAUUCUGGAAAGCAGUGAAAAAUAAAUCACAAAACGGAGACCAGUUUAUACGUCCUGCUGCUAUAUGACAAAGUAAAAAAUCUAAAAAGAAAAUCCCACAACAAAAGCUAUUUGACAUACCGAGCGUCAUAUAGAAAAUUCAAACAACAACCACCACAGAACGCUGAUACAGAUGACGGGCAGGUGGAUGUUUCUCAGAAUCAGAUUUUGAAGAAUCAUGAGGCGAAAAGAACUGGUGCCUGCAAUCGGCCGUGGCAUGUACACAGGUGCUAGUAAUGAUAUAAAUCACGGAUAUUGAUUUUGAAGGUCGAGCUCCAUGGAGGUCUUUGAAUGCAAAAUUCAAAAUUCAUGAAAAUAUUUUUUUUUUAUAUUUCGAAAAAUUCCGUAACAAAUACAGAGAUAGAUGAAGGCAUAAUACACAAGUGUGUAAAUUUUUAGGACCAAAUACGUUGAAAUAAGGCUGUACAAAAAAGGCAAAUCUGAGGUUGUUUAACACAUGAUACUAUUCAUCCUCUCGGAACAUGAUUUUAUAUUUUUAUACAGGUUGCAUUUCAACGUAUUUCAUCCUUGUUUAGUUUUAUAAUUGUUUUCAAAAAAUCUGAGGAUGAGGCAUAUGUCUCACAUCCUUGUUUAGUUGUAUAAUUGUUGUAAGAUUUUUUUUUUAAUUUUGAACUUUUCAAAAAAUCGGCCUCGGCCAAAACGCCUUUCUCUAUAAAUCGUGAUUUGUAUACUGGUAAGAAGAAUGAAGCAAUGCAUAUUCAACUAAACAAACUACAUAUUGUCUUGAAUUCACUCAUUUGGAAUCUAGCUAGAAAGGGUGCUUUUUAGGUGCCCAGAUUUUUUAAUUUUUUUGAGGGAAGUGACGAGGUUCUUGGGAAGAAAAGAUUUAACAGAUUCAUUGGUUUUCACAAAGAGAGCAAAUCAAUAUGAGCGCAGAAGCAAUCGAGUUUUGCCAUUAUUAAGCAACAACAUGACAUACAUGAUACAACUAGAGGUACAUAUAGCUAAAUUAGCGGAAGCCCUUUGUAUUGGUACUGCUCGCCGAGCUCCGCGAGCAGAUCGUUUUCCGCCUUGAGUAUGUCGCCCAUGUUGUCCAGCAGGAGGUACUUGUCCAGCGAGAAGCCCGACUCCGGCGAGAUGAGCGCCGCGACGUUUCUCAGGAACUCCUCGUCUAAUGGGGCAAGGGGCUCCCACUUUUGUCCCGACGUCAGCAGCGGCUUCUGAGGUCGCCGCCUCACGACCUUCAUUUUCUUCUUCUUCAUCGUCAUCCUCCUCUUCUCCCCUCUUGCGGGCGUCGGCGACUUCGCCCCCGCCUCCGUGUUCUCACACGAUGAACUCGCCAUGAUUCUUCUCCCGUCCUUCUUCCGCUGAGAAGAUUGGUCUGCUCUGCUGGUUUCGCAGACUUGCGUGCUCGCCGGCACCGGUAUAAAUACAGCAAAAAUAAGAGAUCGAUGAUUCAUUUCUUGGCUAGGGGAGCAGUUCGUUGUAUCCGACUCGUAUUCAGUCCACGGUUCCGGUUCCUACUCCCGCAUGGUCGACGCAUCGGUUGGGAUCCUAAUUGGGACGGCCCAAUGGUAGGUUAUUUUAUAGUAUUUUUAUGUAUAUUGUCUAUAAGGACGUUACUGCAUCAAAAAGAAAAGUAUAAUGGCUCUGCAUCUAGUCUAGUUGCUGAAGCGUGUGCGUCGAACAGCUUCCCCAUCGCUUAGUGACAGUUCAUGAAAUCGUGUGCGAUGACCAUUUCUAUGGAUUUUUUUUGCAUGAUAAUAUGUGUCUCAUUUAUAUCAUAAUGAAAAUAAUACAAGACCAUUGUUGUGGAUUAUAACAACACAUAUACACAGCCAAAUACAAACCCUACGGUCUUGGUCACAAUAUAGUGGUACAGGUGUCCAUUAGGACAUAUGUCCGUGUGUUGCAACGGAAAAAAAAUUAAUUUGUAUUUGCAAGCACAACACGUCAUGCUCCGCUACGAAAGAACGCUAGUUACCACAUGACCAAAACGACCAUCGAUGCAUCACUACAUCCAGAGAGUGUCACCACCUGCAGGGAGGCGCACGUCAAAGCCUUCAACAAACGCGGGGACUAUGUUACUCCCUUUGUCAGACAUUAUUAGGCUGGUGGACCACUUAGCCUCAGCCGGACAUUAAUCAUGAAGUGAGCCUUAGCGCAGAUGGUAAAGAUAUCUUCAACGUGACGAUGUGGCGUUGUGGCUCCCUGGCCCAGAUCUUCCCACCAAUGAAUAGUAAAAUCGACAAAAAAUAGAAAAAAUGAUUUUUUUUUUUGGAGUGCAAGAUGUUCCUUUGGGUGAUGUCAAAAACUGCUUGGAGCUGAUUUUUAUUUUUUUUUGCCAGACGCUCCUCGAAUGUCCAAAUACCUCGAAAUUUUGCAGACAUUUUAGCAUCUUAUGAGCCAAAAAGGAUUCAGAUUUUUUUGAUAUUGUGCUUUUCACCGGAUGCAGAUGAGCCGGGGACCAUUUUGAUUAUUAUUAUGGCUAAUCUAGUUUAAAUGUGUCAUUGUUCAUGUAGCCCACAAUCAUUUUUUCUUUUAUUGUUUGAACACACCACGUCCUUCAUUUCUUUUAAAGGUUUCCUUGCAUGUCUGCUCGUCGUGCAGUUCAUUCCUUUUAAUUGUCAUUCCUUUUAAUUGUCCGCUUUUAGCAUCCAUUUUUAACUGUCUUGCUGAUAUUCCAAGCAAACCGCAAGGUAUAUAAACCGGUAGGGAUCUAUCUAAAGAGGCAAGGUGGGUUUAUUUAACAUAAAAUAUUGAUGUCGAGUUAUUUUUAAAAAAACAGCCUCAACUUUAUUAAUUAGAGAUAAUUGUUACAUCGUCUAUUAAAAAAGAUACAAUAUUUUCCAAAGGCUCCUCAAUCCACUCACUCGUAUCAGAACUCUUUGCUAAUCUAGCAAGCUCAUGUGCUACUUCGUUCGCUUCUAGUAAAAAAAAUUCAGAAGCCAUAGAAAAACAAUCCUCAAAGGUUGCAGCCGCCGCUCCCGCAUAGUACCCUCCCUUGUUCAUUGUUUCAAUUACUUCCGAGAAUAUUGAUGUAGAGUUGGUUAGUGCAGUUGCCUUACCCUGGACAUGGAGUAUUGAGUUUAAUCUUCCAUAAAUACAUAUUUUUGUACACGUUGUUCGUGGCCCAUGGCAGACGGCCCAAUAUUGUAGCGAAGCCCAGCAGUGCAGCAACCUGACAUGGUACGAUAGAUGGUGAGGUGUAUGCGUGCUAGCAACGUAAGAAAACGGCCAGGGAGAGGCAAUGUAUGUACAAUAUUUUUAACCAUGGAUUCAAGCUCGUAAAAUUUUGAGACUUUUCCAUAAAACUGUAUGACAGACUAAGAAUACAUAUUUUCUUAAUUAGUAGGUAUAGAUGCGGCAAGUGGAUUGUUUCCUGGUUUUGGGAAGUUUCCAUAAGCUUUUCAGACGGUUUUUCAUUUUUUCUAUUUUGGGGUUUUCCUGUACCAAUCUUGUCUAUUUUUUAUUUUCUACUUAUUUUCAUUUUGCUUUAUUGCAUAUUCUUUUACUUUUUUUCAUUUUCCUUUUUCUAUUUAAUUUUGGCAAAACACGAAUUGUUUCAAUUUUAUGAUACUUUUUUUAAUUGAGGAACUCCUUUUCGAACUCGUUUUUUCAAGUUCAUCAUUAUUAUUUUUUAAAAUUAUCACCUUUUUAAAAAAUAUAUGAACUAUUUUUAAUGUUUGUGAACGCUGUCUCAAAAUUGAUGAACUUUUUUCCUAAAUGCUGAAGUUUAUUUUAAAACUGAUGAACUUAUUUUAAUAUUUGAUGAUCUAAUUUUAAAACCGGAGAAUGUUUUUGCAAAAUAGACGAACUGUUUUUCUAGCAUAUGUACCUUUUGAAAAUUCAUGAACUUUUUUUCAAUUUUUGGGCUUUUUUUAAAAGUUGAUGAGCUUUAUUCAAAAUCGUGAAAUAUUUUCCAUCUAUGUGCAACCUCUUUUUUCAAAAUCAUGAACAUUUUCGAAUUGAUGAACUAUUAACAGAGAUUAUACGCAUGACCUUUUUUGAAUUCGCAAACUUUUUGUUGAAAUAUCUGCAUUCUAUUUGAUUUUCUGAUUAUUAUUUUCAAGCUAGCGAGCGUGCUCGUGGGCUCACCCAUGCUAGCAAUGGUGCGAGCUGGCACUGGCGCAAAACGCGUCAAUUAGGAAGAGCAACUAAUUAAGGAGUACUCGUCCGAGAGCCUCUCGAAGGGUCCAUUGCCACGUGUCGUACUCUUGGUGUUUCCUUUGGAUUUUUUUCUAUACAUAUUUAUGUCUGGAAUUUUGGCUUUAAGAUGAUUUUGUUUUCCGGGUUUUUUUGGCUUUUCCGUUUACCCCCGAUUUUUCUUACAAUUUAGACCCAAAAAUAAGAUUUUAAAGAAAAAUCACAAAAAAAUGCAUUUUCUCUUUCUUUUUUCCUACCCUGAGAGACAUGGAUUUGCUUCUCUUAGAGGCACAUGUGCCUCCUGAAAAAGCAAAAAAAAUGUUUUUUCCUUCCGCGAGGCAAGGUCGUGCCUCUCAGAAAAGAAAAAAGAUCCAUUUUUCCUUUCACGGAAGUACGGAUUUGCUUCCCUGAAAGGCCUAGUCGUGCAUCUUGAAAAAGGAAAAAUGCAUGUUCUCAUGAAGGAAAACAACGUGGUUUUAGUUUGGUUUUUUUGUUUGAUUUUUUCGUGAAAAAAAGUCCAACGAAACAUAUCAACAUGUGGUCUAGUUUUUAAGAUCUCGACGCAUGGAAUCUAACGGCAAAACCAGUUCUAGAUUUGGACGUAGGUUUUGAGAGAUAAAAUGUUUUGAAUAAACAAAUCUGCGAAAAAGGAAAAACCCUUAGGUUGCUACAAGUGACGCACAUGCAGUUGAAGACUUGUCGCACCCUGGGUUGGGGGAGUGAUCUUUGCCAAGAGUAGUUUUCAAUUAGUGAUUUCGCUAAUUAGAAGCUCGCAUCAUCUCCGAUGCGAGCACUAGUGGAUCAGCCCAUGUGCGCUCAUAUGGGUUUUUUGGAGCGGCUUUUGGAAGCUUCUAUGGAGCUGUUUAGACAAAUUUGAAAACCUUUCAUUCAUUUUUUAUGUGUUCACUAUAUAGAUUUACAUGGACUAAAGUAAAAUGUAGAUUUACAUUAUUUUUUCCCUUAGUUUUCUUUGUGUGUUUUUAUUCAUUUUUUGAAUACACAUGGAAUUUUUGGAAAUACAGUUCGAAUAUUUUUUGUUUACAUGUUAUUUCUUUUAUACACGUUGAUGAUUUUUGUAGACACAUUUAAGUGUUUUCCAAAAUAAACAGUAUUGAUUUGUCAAAUGAACAUUGGAUUUCUUAUGAAUAUAAGGUGAACAUUUAUGAAACACCCAUUGAACAUUUAGAAAAAUUCCAUGAACAUUUUUUUCUUAAAGCAUGCAAAACAGUUCUUAAUGUUAGAACAUAUUUUUUAAUGUCAAAGACAUUUUUGUUGAAUGGUACAAAAUAUUAUUUAAAAUUACAAGACCAUUUUUACAUACUAGAAACAGUUGUGGAAAAUGUUAUGACCAUAUUUUUGAAACGGCUGAAUAUUGUUUAAAUUUCAUAAAUAUAUUUAGAAUGGUAUGUCAAAAGUUUAAAAAUAUGUGAAUAUUGUUUCUACAUUGUAUAAAAAAUUUAAAAACUGUCAUGAACAUAUUUCUGAACACAUGAACUAAAUGUCAGGAACAUUUUUCGAAUGGUACAAACAUUUUUAAAAUUGUGGAGACAAUUUAUUACACUACAUGAACAUUUAUUUGAAACACGCAAUGAACAAGGGGUAAGGGACACGUGUCAUGUGCUUUGCUAGCGCAUCGUGGUUGCUGAGUGUCUCAUUCCUUUGUUGUUGAGUUUUGUUUUAGUGCGGAGUGUUUUUACAGUAUACUCGAGAAAGAUCCUACGUUACGAAGGAUGUGUUUGGUAGGCGUUUCUAGCGGGACUGGCUCGUGGACAUUGGCUCAACAAAGUUUGGUUGAGAUAAAACGAUCAUAAAACUAACAUCUGCAUUUAGUUUGGUUGCCGGCAUACAUUCUAAACUGAAUGGGGUGUCAUGAAAGACAUACUAUUUGGUUGUCUGUUUGUGUAUGCGCAAACACAAGGCCUACUAUUUGGCUGCAUGCAACACUUGUUGUGAGAUAACCUCUUCGAUGCGGUGGUGAGGUUACCAUCACAUAGCGGCGUCAGGAAGAACACACAACAUAACAUAGUAGUAAGCAGUUAUAAAUAUUGUGUCACAUUUAAAUAGAUUAGUUUAAAUGCAAAGCAGUUCAAUAUUAAACUAAAGCAACUAGAGCAUAUGAGCGGUUGUCCUAGACGUUCACAACGAAGGCAUCGUCAUGUCUCCCGCACCAGGCCACCACUUUACUGCCAUCGUCAUUGAAGACGAUGACCUUCACCAUGUCGGGAGUCAUCAACUGUGACCAUGAAGCCUAUCUUGAUUUGUUGGACGGCGACGAAGGUGGCCCAAACCUGGUCGAGGGUGACCCUUUCGUUCAACAGACGGACAAUGACCCUCCUAGAGCACUCGGUGUUCGCCUUCAAAUUGAACUCCUGUGGCAUAGACGGGAAGUGCUUCAUGAAGUCGAGUGGCAUAGGUAUGGCCUCGAGUGGCAUGAUUACCUUGCAGAAGUUAUUUGGCUCACCCAUCUCAUGGUAGUGGUCGUAGUUCUGACGCUUGUCGCUGGGGGGCUCCUCCGCGUAUCGUUGUCCGUGACCGGGCUCUGGACAGGCGCCACCUUUGAGGGCGGCACAACAUCCUUGCACUUGUAUUGCUCCUUUGGUGGCACCACCUCAUUGCCCUUGUUCUCCGUGUCGAUUUGCAGUGUGAAGAGGUUCAAACGAUUGGGUCAGGAUUUGCAAUAUGAACAUUGCAUCAUUGUCAUUAACUUAUUGUCGAGAACCCCAUUAUUUACCUAGGCUGAUGGUUACCACUUACCCACCACCUAGUUGUUUGUCUCUCUUCCUCCAACCCAAUGCCAUGAACUCUAAGAACAAGUCUAACCCCAUCCGCAACCCCUUUCCUUGGGGCAUUGGAUGGAGGGCCUUCUUCCUAGGGUGCUCGCUCGAUGACCGCACCAAGUUUGAGAACACCAUGAAAGUGUGUUCAAACUUCAACAGCUUGGAGGAGCAGUACAAAGAGUAGGACGCUAUGGUGAAGAAGGCGAGUCGGAGGAGUUGAAGACGCUGAUCAGUGACCCAAUGAAGGGUUCUAUGUGAGCCGACAUACUUCAUUGAGCCAUGAAUCAAGCCGUCCCCGGCGACGCUGGACAGAGGGAAAACUGAGCCAAGUACAGACAGCAUCGGUGUUCUUAUGACCACGGGGCCGCAACGUACUUCACCACAAAGAUUAUGGUGGUGCCGGUGGAGGAGCAUCAAGAAGUGCUGGCUAUGGAGGUGGAAGAGGAAGAUGCAGUGGCGACGAUUGUGAGGGCGCUGGAGCUAGGACACCUAAGCAUGCCAAUCAAGUUGGACUCCGGCGAGGAAGAAGAUAUGGUGGUGUAGGUCGAGGAGAAGACCAAGGCCAAGGCUACCCACCGCUCCAAUCGCCUCCAGGGUCCUGUGUACUAUGUAAGAUGAACCCUAAUCCCCAUUCCGAUUGUACUCAAUCCUGAUUGGGAACCUCAUAUCUACCCGUAGUCAUGACGAUGUUAUGACCACUCCUAUGGUGUUUACCCCGAUUCCCCAUUCUCCUAACAUGGAUCGAACCUAAACUCGGAUCAAAUGCAAAGUAGUACAUGAGGAGGGGGGAAAGUGCUUACCGCCAUUGCCGAAGUGCUGCUGUGGAUGCCGGUGAAGAGGCCGGAGUCGAUUUGCUGUUCCUCGAUCUGAUGCACGCCAUCGCCGCCGUCGGUGAGAGUAGGGAGAGUGGAAAGAGAGCGGUGAGAAAAGGUAAGGGUAAUGACUGUCGACGCUUCGGGAAACAACGCGGCUUCUCAAGGGUGGCUCCCCUUGUGCAACCCCUGCCGCCCACGUGCAUCGCAGAGGCCUGGCUCGCGAGAAACUACCAAUUCGAACGUGCCUCGCGAGACAUACCCAGACAUGCUUUAAAGUUCGUGACAUGCAGGCCCAACAAUGUAUGUUGACAACCAAUCAGUUUGUUUUCUUUCCACGGGCCUGGUUGGACCUUAUGCGGGCAACCAAACGCAUCCCCAAGUGUUGUUUAUUUGUCGGAAUUUUCUAAGGUACUGGGCAAACGACAUGUGUACUGAGUGCCCAUGAAAUUACACCAGGCAAACUGUAAAAUACUCAGCGUAAUUUUUUUCCUGUAGUUGUACAAUUGGCUGCGCUGCAGUUCCAAAUUUGAUAAAGUUACAAGGUUGGUGUACCAGAAAUUCAUUAUCUACCAAUCAUCAAUAUGUAUGCACAAAACAGUUGCCUGUCUGGGCCUUUGUAUCAACGUCCAUCCAUGUGUAACACGUUCAGCGGAACCGUCUACCAAACGUCUGACAGACACAGACACGUGCAUAUCCUCCAAACCGGGCAGGCUGGUUGCUUGCGCCCUCGUCGCUUUCUUGUCGAACUGGCUCCAUAUAUAGACUAAUGCACACCACAGUUCAAUUUCCAUUUUCGUUUCAGUCAUCGUACAUAUGACUGCAUUAUUCAGCUAACGUUUAAGCAUAGGGAUUUUUAUUUUCAUGUCCCGUCUUUCUUAGUUAUGAUUAGUUUUGCCCCGUUCAUUUAACAUUGCUCACUUUUUUCCCUUCUUUACUCAUCUACGCCUCGUAAAAGAUCAAACGGUGUGUUGACAUUGGGUUAGACCAGGGGCGGUCCUCAGAUUUUGGGGGCCCGGGGCUGGAUUAAAAGCCGGGGCCCUUAAUAUAGACAUAAUAACAAUAACACUGAAUAUACGUACCGGUGAAAUAUAAACACUUAAAUACGUCUAAUACUAAUAUGCAUAUCAAAUGUUUUAAAAAUAUUACCUCAAACAAUAAUUCUGACAUACCUUGAUGCAAAGGCCAUUAUGAUGGCGUCGAUGUUAAUAGCGUCCAAUAAUUUCUUCUCGAUGACAUAAUGUCACCAGACCAUAUAAACACUCUUGGUUCAUCGGUGACCUCACAUAGUUCUUCAAUCAAUAUUUCCAACUUCAGAGAGCUUCUUCCGACCAAUACGAUAGUCACAGGCAUAGUAAAUAGGAUGCAAUAAGCAAUGGAAAUAUCAGGAUAACAGCCAACUUCUAUUGACAUGCUGCAAAUCUCCAUUGCAGAUAUUACAGUCAUAUGGCAGAAUGAAUCCCACAAUUUUUAAUUUAGAAGUAAGAUCAUACUCCCUCCGUUCCUAAAUAUAAGACCUUUUAAAGAUUGCACUAUAAACUAUAUAGGAUGUACAUAGACAUAUUUUAGAAUAUAGAUUCACUCAUUUUGCUCCGUAUGUAGUCUCCUAGUUGAAUCCCUAAAAGGUCUUAUAUUUUAAAACGGAGGGAGUAUAUCUCAACAUCAUGAUACACAAUGCUGACAAAUAACAUUAAUUGUUGAACAAUAUCGAUGUACCGGCGAUGCAUCUACAGAAGCACAAUAAGAAUAUAUGAUAUACGUACCUCGGAUGGCUGAAUCAGCCAUGACGGAAAAUCAAAGCCGGAUUAUAGGACGCCCCGACGAAUUGAAAUCGACGGCGCGCAGCUGAUGAUCUAAAUUAGGAAAGAAAUUAGGUUUGGGAGAAAAGUAGAAAGGAGGGUCGAGCACGCAGUGGCGAACAGACGAUGCGUCGGCGGCCGCUAGGAAUCGCUGCGUCAAUGCGAGAUGGAAUAGGAAGGGAUCAAUCACUCCUAUUUUUUCGUGAAAAAACGGAAGGAACGGUUGCUGCCUUUGUGCCUCGCUGGACUGCUGGGUGCAUGUUUGCCUGCAUGCUACGUGAGGCCCAGUCAACCAACCCGAUAGGUCAUUUUUUUCUGAUCUGUAAAAACAUUAAAUAUGUUUGGACAAAGCCUAUGUACAUACGUGGGGAGGGCCCCCUAAACUUUGGGGGCCGGGGCGGCCGCCCCCCCCUGCCCCUCCCCUCGGCCGGCCCUGCGGUUAGACUACCAACAAUGAAAGUAACAUAGGUGGUAACAUAGAUAUCAUCUAAACAACAAAUGUGAUGUGGCAACUAAUUAAAGAAAAGUAAGAGAAAUUGAAUAACUUAGCAUGUUACUCAUAUUAGGAGUAACAUAGCGGAUACCAAGGCAAGAUGGGUGUAUAGGCUAAUAAAUAAAAGACUCAAUGUUACUACCCCUAUGUUACUAUCCACUAUGGAGGUAGUAACUUAGAUUAGUAACAUAUGUAUGUUACUCCCCAUUGGUCUUUCAGCGGCGUUCAGAGACUCCUUCAUAUUAUUAGACAUAAUUAUGUCUAGAGACACAACACACGAGGCUAUACGUAAAUCACCCUUAGAAUACCAGCGAGCUCUCGUUUAACCUACGGACCCGAUGGGCCAUGUUAAGACUGGUAUGAAUACCAGCAAGCUCGCUGACAAGGAUCCGACGACUCCAUUACCCCUCGCAUCGCUUAGAGAAAAAACCCGAUACAAGUCACCCCCUUGACUUGAUCUGGAAUUAUCUGCGAGAUGCCAUCUAUGCUCUCAUCUAUCAACAAUUUCAACACAUGUUCUGCCGGAGUUUUGGUGCUUGGAAACCAUGAGCAAACCGCUUGUCACUUCUCCCGUGAGAGAGCGUCACCGGCACAGAACACCUCCAAUGGUUUCGUGAUUGCCGAUGGCGGCUGCAGGAUUGGGGGAGGUAGGCUGCUCGGGCUGCGGGGGAUGCGAAUUGAGAGAGAGAGAGAGAGAGAGAGGGAGGGAGAGGGAGAGGAAGAGAGAGAGAGAGAGAUUUCGUCCCCCUUUUUAGGACAAAUGACCCAACCAUCCACUAGCCGGUCCCACAUGUCAGCAUUUCAUGUCAGUCCCAUGCGUCCACGCGUCAACACCGGACGAAGUAACGGUCAACAGUUUUGACCCGACGGUGAGGCAUUGUUUGGCCUUUUGCGAGACGGAGGCGAGUAGAGGAGGGAGAAAAGUGAGUAAUGUUAGACGGACGAGGCAAACUGAGCACAACUAAGUAACGAUGGACGAGGCAACUUACGUAAAACCAGCUACAAUUAUAAUAGCUUUCGAUGUACACCCGUGUGAUCACCAGCCAUCUAACAACCUUUGCCGACAGUUGUCCUUCAUCCACAAAGACAACAUCAUCCAAAUAAUUCACUUGCAAUCCAGGUUUCUCUAUCAUCUCUUUGGACAUUGUGAUAUUUACUAAUUCCCGAUCCAGAGGUCUCAUACGCCAUGGCGAUGUCAUGACCAGUCUAGGAGAAGAAGCACCUCGUAAACUAGAGCGGAACAGAACCUGGGUUUUCUAGGCAUGGCCUCUCGAUAAGAAGUUGAGAAGAUUAUGGCUGAUACAUGGUGAGAUAGGAUGAGGUGUCUACGCUGCCAUACGACAAAACCCUAGUAACAGGGGAUGCUUUAUCUGUGUUAUUUUUUAAUUAAAUCACAUGAAUAAUUGGCCGUGUGUAUGUAAUUCUAUAUUAAUAUAAUAGGACACAAAGAGGCAGGUCCAUAUCAUCUCGGCCAACAAAUCUAAGAUUUGAUGGUUCAUGUUGAGCACCAAGAGACGAAAACCGCUCGCGUCGCCUCCAGGGGGCGACACGGGCGCCCUAGCCGCCGUCGCCCUCGACCUCCCUCCUCCCCCGCUUCCCCGCCGUUGCCGGAGGAGGCCGGCGAGCGAAGCUCGCCCGGCGGACGACGGACGGCGGGCCUUCCUCCCUUCUUCACGAGGGGGUCCUUUGGCUGAGAUGCGACGGCGCCCCUGGGGGUACAACAUGGAGGCGGAGUUGGCGUGCUCGGGCGGCGUGGGAUCCCGGCGGCGCUGCGGGGGCUGGCGGCGGCGGAUCUGGGGUUCCCCACCCCAGAUCGGUUCUCCUCCGGGUGGUCGGGCUCAGGCGCCGUCCAGCGGCCCUAAGCGGUGGUGGACGCGCGCGUUGACUGUCCUCCUUCACAGAUGUGAUUGGAAACGACAGGAGGUGUUGGCGUGCUGCUAGAUCUGAACAAGGUGAUGGCGUCAUCCCCUUCAUCAGGGAUGACGACCAGGUGGUGGGUUCUUGUGGCGUCGCCGGUGGCGGCGGAUCUUGGGAUCCAGUUCCCGGGGACGUCGUGGGAUGUGGUGGCCCGUGCAGGAGAGAUGGGUUCUUCGAACAGAUCUGGGUCAAAGCUUGCUUUCGGCUAUUGCUAAGGUCGGCGAUGGCGGCGCUGUCUACAUCGUUCCCUUCCUGAAGGCAUCGCCGAGGAGAACUUCAGGGCCACUCUCUGCUACCUCCUGGGGUAACCCUAGAUCAGUAGAUCGGAUGACGGCGACGCUCUGGUGUCAUUUCCCCCUUGGGGGCGUCAUUCAUGGUGGUACACACGGGCUCGAGGGACCAUUGGUCGGCAUUUACGAUGGAGCAGCGUUCCUAGUGACACAUCGACGUUGUGGAGUCUCGGCGGCGAGGCGCGGCAAAGUCUCGGCAAUGAAUGCAUGAUGAUGAGCACGCGUAGGGAGGAGGCGUUGUCUGGCGCCGUGGGGGCAUCGAUGGCAGGCCUUGCAAGGUCGAUGCGUCAGUAAUUUUUCUGAAGAUGGAUUGAUGGAAGGCGGCGACGACGACCUAUGAGGGUGCGUCGGACCGUUUGUGCCCCUGACCCGGUAUGUGGCUCUGUCGGGGCCUCCGGCUUUAGAUGUUAGGCUAGGUGAGAGGUCUGGGUAUGUGGCUCACACUUUCUGCACCCCCUUCAUCAUUGUAUAUGAGUAGCGACAGAUGUUGCCAAGAGGACGGCUUCAGACAUACGCUUAACACUCUAGCUAAUUGACCACCAGUAGCACGGGAGAGGUGUUUUGGCUCCCGGGUAUAUGCACUCGGAUGAACAGUACUGCGAAAAAAGUUCUAAUUUUUUUUGUAGAUGAUUGUAUUAGUGUCGCAAAUAUGCAUGACAAUUUUCGUGCGAUAAGGAGCAACGGUGUUUCAUCAGCAAAAAAGACAAAUUUAGGAUGACAUUUUGGGGUAACUUUUGGUGUUCAAUUUGUUUUUCUUGCACAAACCAAAAUGUUUUAUCUUUUUGUCUCAAAAUUUACAAGUAGUAUUUGGAUGUGACAAAGCAUACAAACAAAUUUUGUCUCAUUUUUUUCCAUUUCAAACUUUUUUUUGGCCCCGAAAGCAUAUGCCGGGAGCCGAAUUGCAUUUCCGCCGGUAGCACUAGUUACAUACACACUAGACUCCGCGCAAUCCCAUGAAAUCUGUUUGGCGAUUAACAUACGGCUAAAUAUCAACAUGCAAAUAUUAUCUUACCAAAUGUACCAAAUGUGUAACUAGUAUCUUAAUUCUACUCCCUUCAUAAACUAAUAUAAAAACAUUUAAAAACAAUGCUUUAGUAAUCUAAACGCUUUUAUUUAAUUUACAAAAGGAGUGCUACCUAAUAUCAACAUGCAUUGCACCAACUCCCUUCAAGGUCUAAUGCGUUUUUAGGGUUGCCCUUGACUAUUGAUAAGAUUAAUAAUAUAUGAGAUCUAUGAUAAAGAGUCUUUUCACAUCCGAAUUUGACAAUAUACCUGUAACAUGCAAGUUAUAUAUAUAUAAUUGCUCUAACCCGUGGCCAAAGGAAAUCUUGCAAAAUGUAUCGGAUGAAGGGAGAACAUGAUAAUACCAGUCUAACAAAUAUAUCCUCUCCAAUCGCAAACAUUUAUCCCCUUGGAUCACAACCAUGCAUACCCCUUUUGAGUACUCCCUCCGUCCCAAAAUUAAUGUCGAGCAUGUAGUUCAUUGGGAAUUUUGCAAAAAAAAACCUCGUAUUUACAAAAUCGUCUCAAACAAGCACCUCCACCCCUAUCUUCUUCGUCCGUCCUCGCCCGUGCAUCGCGAGAGGCCGCGCCGUCGAACUGGAAGGGCUCCGCCGCCGUCGCCGCCAAUUACCUCCUCCAUCACCACAACCCAGAUCUGCGCCACCGGAUCUCUUCCCGCUGCAGUUACCUGUCGGCGUCGUUCUCGAGCUCCUGCCGGCGUCGGAACCUUCCGCCACUUCGUCCUCUGGCUCCCAUGCGUCAUCCUCGAGCUCCCGUGCAUCCUCCCCAAGCUCACGCGCAUCCUCGCUGGAAUCUCUACUGCUCCUUCUCCCUUGCAGCCGGUGUGCCUGCUUAUCCCCUGUCACCGGAGGAGCUCCUCUGCACGUACUUGUUGGAAUUAUGCCCUANNNNNNNNNNNNNNNNNNNNNNNNNNNNNNNNNNNNNNNNNNNNNNNNNNNNNNNNNNNNNNNNNNNNNNNNNNNNNNNNNNNNNNNNNNNNNNNNNNNNNNNNNNNNNNNNNNNNNNNNNNNNNNNNNNNNNNNNNNNNNNNNNNNNNNNNNNNNNNNNNNNNNNNNNNNNNNNNNNNNNNNNNNNNNNNNNNNNNNNNNNNNNNNNNNNNNNNNNNNNNNNNNNNNNNNNNNNNNNNNNNNNNNNNNNNNNNNNNNNNNNNNNNNNNNNNNNNNNNNNNNNNNNNNNNNNNNNNNNNNNNNNNNNNNNNNNNNNNNNNNNNNNNNNNNNNNNNNNNNNNNNNNNNNNNNNNNNNNNNNNNNNNNNNNNNNNNNNNNNNNNNNNNNNNNNNNNNNNNNNNNNNNNNNNNNNNNNNNNNNNNNNNNNNNNNNNNNNNNNNNNNNNNNNNNNNNNNNNNNNNNNNNNNNNNNNNNNNNNNNNNNNNNNNNNNNNNNNNNNNNNNNNNNNNNNNNNNNNNNNNNNNNNNNNNNNNNNNNNNNNNNNNNNNNNNNNNNNNNNNNNNNNNNNNNNNNNNNNNNNNNNNNNNNNNNNNNNNNNNNNNNNNNNNNNNNNNNNNNNNNNNNNNNNNNNNNNNNNNNNNNNNNNNNNNNNNNNNNNNNNNNNNNNNNNNNNNNNNNNNNNNNNNNNNNNNNNNNNNNNNNNNNNNNNNNNNNNNNNNNNNNNNNNNNNNNNNNNNNNNNNNNNNNNNNNNNNNNNNNNNNNNNNNNNNNNNNNNNNNNNNNNNNNNNNNNNNNNNNNNNNNNNNNNNNNNNNNNNNNNNNNNNNNNNNNNNNNNNNNNNNNNNNNNNNNNNNNNNNNNNNNNNNNNNNNNNNNNNNNNNNNNNNNNNNNNNNNNNNNNNNNNNNNNNNNNNNNNNNNNNNNNNNNNNNNNNNNNNNNNNNNNNNNNNNNNNNNNNNNNNNNNNNNNNNNNNNNNNNNNNNNNNNNNNNNNNNNNNNNNNNNNNNNNNNNNNNNNNNNNNNNNNNNNNNNNNNNNNNNNNNNNNNNNNNNNNNNNNNNNNNNNNNNNNNNNNNNNNNNNNNNNNNNNNNNNNNNNNNNNNNNNNNNNNNNNNNNNNNNNNNNNNNNNNNNNNNNNNNNNNNNNNNNNNNNNNNNNNNNNNNNNNNNNNNNNNNNNNNNNNNNNNNNNNNNNNNNNNNNNNNNNNNNNNNNNNNNNNNNNNNNNNNNNNNNNNNNNUGUUGGAAUUAUGCCCUAGAGGCAAUAAUAAAUGUGGUUAUUAUUAUAAUUCCUGUAUCAAGAUAAUAGUUUAUUAUCCAUGCUAUAAUUGUAUUGAAUGAAGACUCAUUUACAUGUGUGGAUACAUAGACAAAACACCGUCCCUAGCAUGCCUCUAGUUGGCUAGCCAGUUGGUCAAUGAUAGUCAGUGUCUUCUGAUUAUGAACAAGGUGUUGUUGCUUGAUAACUGGAUCACGUCAUUGGGAGAAUCACGUGAUGGACUAGACCCAAACUAAUAGACGUAGCAUGUUGAUCGUGUCAUUUUGUUGCUACUAUUUUCUGCGUGUCAAGUAUUUAUUCCUAUGACCAUGAGAUCAUAUAACUCACUGACACCGGAGGAAUGCUUUGUGUGUAUCAAACGUCGCAACGUAACUGGGUGACUAUAAAGAUGCUCUACAGGUAUCUCCGAAGGUGUUAGUUGAGUUAGUAUGGAUCAAGACUGGGAUUUGUCACUCCGUGUGACGGAGAGGUAUCUCGGGGCCCACUCGGUAAUACAACAUCACACACAAGCCUUGCAAGCAAUGUAACUUAGUGUAAGUUGCGGGAUCUUGUAUUACGGAACGAGUAAAGAGACUUGCCGGUAAACGAGAUUGAAAUAGGUAUGCGGAUGCUGACGAUCGAAUCUCGGGCAAGUAACAUACCGAAGGACAAAGGGAAUGACAUACGGGAUUAUACGAAUCCUUGGCACUGAGGUUCAAACGAUAAGAUCUUCGUAGAAUAUGUAGGAUCCAAUAUGGGCAUCCAGGUCCCGCUAUUGGAUAUUGACCGAGGAGUCUCUCACGUCAUGUCUACAUAGUUCUCGAACCCGCAGGGUCUGCACACUUAAGGUUCGACGUUGUUUUAUGCAUAUUUGAGUUAUAUGGUUGGUUACCGAAUGUUGUUCGGAGUCUCGGAUGAGAUCACGGACGUCACGAGGGUUUCCGGAAUGGUCCGGAAACGAAGAUUGAUAUAUAGGAUGACCUCAUUUGAUUACCGGAAGGUUUUCGGAGUUACUGGGAAUGUACCGGGAAUGACGAAUGGGUUCCGGGAGUUCACCGGGGGGGGCAACCCACCCCGGGGAAGCCCAUAGGCGUUGGGGGAGGCACACCAGCCCUUAGUGGGCUGGUGGGACAGCCCACAAGUGCUCUAUGCGCCAAGAGAAGAAAAAUCAAGAGGAAAAGGGAAAAAAAAGGAGGAGGUGGGAAAGGAGGAGGACUCCCUCCCACCAAACCUAGUCCAACUCGGUUUGGGGGGGGGAGAGUCCUCCCCCUUGGCUCGGCCGACCCCCUUGAGGGUCCUUGGACCCCAAGGCAAGGCCCCCUCCCUCCCACCUAUAUAUACGGAGGUUUUAGGGCUGAUUUGAGACGACUUUUCCACGGCAGCCCGACCACAUACCUCCACGGUUUUUCCUCUAGAUCGCGUUUCUGCGGAGCUCGGGCGGAGCCCUACUGAGACAAGGUCAUCAUCAACCUCCGGAGCACCGUCACGCUGCCGGAGAACUCUUCUACCUCUCUGUCUCUCUUGCUGGAUCAAGAAGGCCGAGAUCAUCGUCGAGAUGUACGUGUGCUGAACGCGGAGGUGCCGUCCGUUCGGUACUAGAUCGUGGGACUGAUCGCGGGAUUGUUCGCGGGGCGGAUAGAGGGACGUGAGGACGUUCCAAUACAUCAACCGCGUUCUCUAACGCUUCUGUUGUACGGUCUACAAGGGUACGUAGAUCACUCAUCCCCUCUCGUAGAUGGACAUCACCAUGAUAGGUCUUCGUGCGCGUAGGAAAAUUUUUGUUUCCCAUGCGACGUUCCCCAUCAGUACUGCUGCUGGUCAUCUGCCUGAGUUGUUGCUGCUCCUCUGCUGGAGUUGAUGCUCCUCUGCUCGAUCUACUCUGCCGCUGGUGAAGCUCUGCCCGUGGUACUGCUAUUCCUCUGCCCAUUUGCACCUGAAGAAGGUACUGAUGAAACUGUUUGUUGUUUACUGCUACCUAAAACUGCUGUUGUUUGAGAAACUGCAUUGCUUGAGAAACUUGUAAUGUUGUGGUAUCGAAAAUAAUUUUGUGCAAUACUUGUAAUGUUGUGGUAUCAAAAAUAAUUUUGUGGAGUAUCAGAAACAGAGAAGCCUGGUUCAAGGUUUUGCACUGGAAACAGAGCAGUCUGGUUCAAGGUUGUGCACUGGAAACAGAGCAAUCUGGUUCAAGGUUUUGCCUAGAUAAACCAGACCGGAUGAGAGACCAAAUACAUGGGCAAGUAGUCAAAAGAAACACAUAAUUUGCCUAGAAUCUUGUUGUCCUGUGAUGCAAGAAAAUUUCACCAUGUGUAUGUUGUGGAACGCUUACAGUUGCACAAAUCAGACAUAUCAGUAGGUUGGUUCAGGUGUUGGUUCUUGGCCUAUUAACAUAGAAAGCCCCUUUGUAACUACUAGGACAAUCAGCUUGUGUAAAGAUCAUAUUUAGAGACGAAUUGCAAGCAUUAACCUGAUCUUAACAUAUAUAAAUGGAUAUUAAGUUUUCCAUUUUAGGCGAAUACAGAUAGAGGUUUCAACUAGACCUAGUGAGAAAUGGUUCCAUGGUAGCAUUUCUUGUUUGGCUGUCGUAGCUCGAUUACAUAUUGUUUUUACGUGCGUAUAUAUUCUUGUUACAGUACCAUGGUGUACUCAUCUUUUGUCAUUGAUAGCAGGAGUAUGGAUUUGAACAUGAUACCUCAAGAGGAGGAUGAAGGUAUUAAUUUGAAUUGGAUCCCUCAAGAGGAAGAGGCUCAAGGGGGAGAGGAUGGAGGUAUGGAUUUGAACAUGAUGCCUCAAGAGGAAAAGGAUGAUGGUAUUAAUUUGAAUUGGAUCCCUCAAGACGAAGAGGAUCCAGGGGGAGAGGAUGGAGGUAUGGAUUUGAACAUGAUGCCUCAAGAGGAAGAGGAUGAAGGUAUUAAUUUGAAUUGGAUCCCUCAAGAGGAAGAGGCUCAAGAGGAAGAGGAUGAAGUUAUGAAUUGGAUACUUCAAGAAGAAGAAGAAGGUCAAGAAGGUGUACCAGGUAAACAGAAAAGAAAAGAAUUGUCAAAUAAGGAGAGGCAUGCUGUUUACUUUGCUCUGCUAGUAAUCGAGCUCAGAGAUGGAUCUGUUCAACCAAACGACAAGCUGCUAGUAUCAAUCUUGUUGAACAUACAUGUACGAUCUAUUGAGAGAAUCUGGUCGGAGCCAAAAAGCAGAUUGCCGCGGGCCAAGAAGUAGAUGUCUCCAACAAGAAGAAAGGAAGAGUUGGUCGAAAGAGAAAAGAGCUGGAUCUUGCAAGGACCUCAACAAUCCCAUUGAAUAGAAGAAGGACAAUUCGAUCUCUGGCACGGUCUCUCGGUGUGACCCGCUCAACCCUACAUCGGAGGUUCCAGUUAAAUGAGCUCAACCGCAUCACAAACACAGUCAAGACUUACCUCAAACCAGAGAACAAGAUUGCAAGAUUGAAGUUUUGUAUGUCCAUGCUCGAUGACAAUUGGAUCUCAACUUCCCAAGCUAUAUUCAAGCCAAUGACUAAUAUGGUCCAUAUAGAUGAAAAGUGGUUUGACAUGACAAGACUAAAGAACAACUACUAUGUACUUCCAGGAGAGCCUCCACCUGAGCGCACCGUGACAAACAUUAACAUCAUUGGGAAGGUAAUGUUUCUAACGGUUGUGGCCAGAUCUCGAUACAAUUAUGAUGGAGAGCUAACAUUUGACGGGAAGAUUGGUAUUUGGGCAUUCAUCAAAGAGUCUGAGGCAGUGCGAACGAGUCACAAUAGAGCAAGGGGAACGACAGUGCUGAAACCAGUGAAAGUAACGAGACCUGUGUGUAGAGAAUAUCUGAUCAAUAAGGUUAUACCAGCAAUUCAAGAUAAAUGGCCUGACGAUGAUGAGGGAGCAACAAUAUUCAUCCAACAAGAUAAUGCAAAGCCUCGCGUUCUUCCCAACGAUGAAGCUUUUCGAGAAGCUGUGGAAGAAACUGAUCUCGACAUUAAGUUGAUGCAACAACCUCCAAACAGCCCAGAUUUGAACUGUUUGGACCUCUGCUUCCACAAUUCUCUCCAGUCUCUAACCGAUUGUAGGUCACCUACAAACAUCCAGGAACUGAUACAGGGUGUGGAAGAGGAGUUUGAGAAUUAUGAUCCUCACAAGUUGUACAACAGCUUCAUCACAUUGCAAGCAGUUAUGUUUGAAAUUAUGAAAGAUCAAGGAGGAAACCAAUAUAAGUUGCCCCACUUACACAAGGAACGUCUUCAGAAUGACGGCAGAGAAAUAACAAGUGUAUAUUGUGACAGUCAGCUAGUUGCUGAUACUAGGGCCAUUCUAGAAGAAAUGCAAUAGGAAAAGGAAAGGAAGAAAAGAAGUAGUUGUAGAAAGGAAAAAAAGAAUUGAACUUAUCUGAAUUGUACUCCUUGUGUACUCCUUGUACUCCUUGUGUAUGUCUUGUGCAAUAGGAAAAUGCAAUUGGAAUCAUUUGAGAUCAAUGAUGAUACUGGUUAUCCAACAUUUCCAUCUUGUGUAUCGGAAUUCAUUUUAAUUGUUUGGACUAAUUUGUUUGAGUUUAUCUUGAGUUUAUCCAGCAUUUCCAUCUGUAUUGGAGAUCAAUGAUCUUGUGUAUUGGAAGGGUCAUGUACAUGGGGAUGUUGCCUCAAGUUUUAUUAAAUUUAUUGUUUCAGGUUUCAGUAUACAAAGAUUACUGGGGUAUUGUCUAUAGUUUGGAUAAACCAAAUAAAGUUCACAAAUCUUUAUUCCCUUUGUGCAUAAAGUUUACAAAUCCCAAGCAUAGAGUUGGGAUCAACAAAAAAAUUCUAAGCUUACAAAUCGUGAGUGCUUUCAUCUCAAAAAAAUUCUAAGCUUACAAAUCCAGAACUGGUAGCCUUCCUUAUCUCAAUUCUCUGGUACUGAUUUUUGCUCUCUUUUUUUACCUUCCUUCAACAAGUUGUUCCUUGAACUGCAGGUACUCAGGGACAGUCAACUCCUCGUCGUCUGAAUUCUCAAGUACAGUAGUACUAGUAGCUUGGUUCAGGUUGAUUCUCAAUGAUGCCCUGCACUUGACACUAAAGCCUCCAGCCUGCAGAUAUACAAACGAAAUACAGAUACAUGCAUCAGUCUGAACCUGAAGAAGAAGGAAUGCAACCUGUGAAAUGUGUGAAAUGCUCCUACCAACAGACAAUGGAUGGUUUUUUUGUUUUGAUUGGUCUUGCUCUCGGUUUGAAGAUGAAGUGGUGUUAUUUCGCUUACCGUUGAUGUUCAAGUGUAGGCUUUUGCCUGCCCAGCACCUCUUAACCAUGUCAUCUCCUUGCAGUGCGUCUGGUUCAGGCCGAGCUCCGGGAAGCGGCUGCGCAUCAGCGGCAGCAGCGUGUCCGACGUCCCCAGGUACAUGGACUGGAAGUUGGCCUCCUGUUUCUACACGAGCACCCUGAUGAAGAGGUCUUCGGGGAGAGCUGGGGCGACUUGUUGCCAUCUGGUGAGGACGUCCACGGCGCCCUGGUCGACGGACUUCGUGACGCUGAACAUUGUCACUGUCGGGGGACGGGAACGUGCUUCACCUGCCACGAGAGCACGACGCCGAAGCUCUCGCCGACGCCGUUUCCGACGCAGCCGGAGAAGACGGCGGCGGUAGGUGGAGAAAUCAUUGCUUUUUAUGAGGAAGGGGGAAGCUUGGGGAGGCAGGCGAGUCGCAACUGCGGCGGCGGAGCGGCGGGGGACCGGGGGAGCAGGGGAGUUGCGGCAGGCGGAGCUGCAGCGGGCGAGCGGCAGCUGCGGCGGGGGAGUAGGGCAGCUGCGGCGGCGAGGAGCAGGCAAGCUGUAGCGAGCGUAGAUGGGGCAUCUGUCGGAGGAGGAGGACGAGGAGCGCGGGUUUGGUCGGGAGAAGCUGUAGGGGCUUUUCGCAAAAUUACCGUCGCGACAUUAAUUUCGGGACGGAGGGAGUAGCAUCUAAUCCUUCCAAAUAACACAGAACAUACGUGUUGCACGACCCAAAUGGGGCCCGGUCAAUGACAUCAAUCCCAUAUGUCACUCUCUGCUCCUACUACCUCGCUGUCCAUUACUUCAUGGUAAAUCUGGGGACGAGGAGGACAUGGUCGUCUGUCUGGCUCUUCACCUCCCUCGGGAGCAGUGCACUCGACCACGGUUGGACUCUAACCGGUGGAAAUCCAUGGUGUCCGUUCAAAUGUCGUUUGGAUGCGCAGGGAUGAUUGCUCGAGGCGUGCGGGCGCGGCCUCGACGGACACAGUGAUCGCCGUCCAAUUCUAGUAUGAUGAUGCAACCCCUUUGGUGGUGCCUCAUCCCUACGCCCUCGGGCUCGGAGUCGAAGAUCUGCACCGGCAUGAGUUACGGUCCAUCUUCUAACAUGGAGUGGCAUACCCGUCGUGCAAGGCAAAGGCCGCGUGGCGAGACGUAGAUGCUCUAACCACAUCUAGAUGGGAUCACAUCGAUUUAUGAUAUCCCGACUUCCCGAUCAACGAGUCUCCUCUGAUCAAAACCAUGUUACCCUAAUAUGCAUGUAAAAAAGUUAGGCUAAUAUGCGCGUAAAAAAGUUGAUUAACUGCUGCUAAAAUGGUGUGAUGUGAUAAGCCGGCCCUCCCCAACAAGAAAUAAUAACAACUGCCCCCCUAUCUCUCAUAUCCAAUUUAUAUAUGAGCCGGAUAUAGCGAGGACUGGAUGCGUCCGUCAGGUUGUAUCCGGCUCACGCUGGUUCAUCCCGACCCAUAUAUAUCCGUCUCUAUCUCCAACCUGGACGAAACCCUAGCUACUCCACCCCUCUUCUUAGCUCCGUUCCGAUGAUCUCCAGCCAUCUCCGACAUUACAGGCAGCGUCCGACACGGAGUUGGGAUCUCGCCCCAUGCGGGGAUGAGGAGGACAUGGCCGUCCGGCCGGCACUUCGCCGCCCCCGGAAGGAGUGCGCUCGACCACGGUUGGACUCUAUCCGGCAAAAACCCAUGGUGUCCGUUCAAAUCUCGCUUGGAUCCGCAGGGAUGAUGGCUCGAGGCGUCCGGGCGCGGCCUUGCCGGACGCGGUGACCACCAUAAUAUUCUAACUCCGGGAUGGCGAUGCAACCCCUCCGGUUGCGCAUCAUCCCUAACAUGGAGCGGCGUACGCCGUCGUGCGAGGCAUAGGACGCGGGGGCGAGGUGUAGAUGCUCUAACCGCAUCUGGAUGAGAUCACAUCGAUUGAUGAUGUCCGGAUAAACGAGUCUCCUCAGAUCAAAACCGUGUAAUAAUCCUACAAAAUAAAGACAUCGCCCAACGUGUUCCAGAACGCUCUGAAUGAGACCCCGCGAAUGGCAACAACCAUACCAUUUAUGAGCAAGUUUUGUCAGUCCCCCCACCCGGCCAGCCCGUGACAUCGAUGUAGCAGCUUCCGUUCCUAUUUAACCAGCGUACCAUUUGCACUACAUUGCAUCACAGCAAGCACACACACACACACACUCUCUAGAGAAAUGGCGAUGGCUAGGACGACGGCGCUCCUCCUCGUCGCCGCGGCUCUCCUGGCGGCCUCAUCCAGCGCAUGGGAGGUGAACAUCCAGAUGCCGGCGUCGGCGGCCGUGGACGAUGCUGUGGCACCGCUCAUCCACGCGCUGCGGCCGCUCCUGGGCUCCGGCAAGCAAGCCGGCGUGGCGUGCGAUAGCUGGCGGCUGGGCGUGGAGGCGCACAACGUGCGGGACUGGAAGACGGUGCCCGCCAGCUGCGAGGAUUACGUCGGCCACUACAUGGUCGGCGACCACUACCGCCGGGACUCCAAGGUCGUCAUCGACCAGGCCAUCGCCUACGUCGACUCCCUCAAGCUCGCCGGCAACGGCAAGGAGGUCUGGGUCUUCGACGUCGACGAGACCACCCUCUCCAACCUCCCCUACUACGCCAAGCACGGCUUCGGGUACGU
rnacentral:lncRNA from 1 species